CAAGAGCGAUUCCACUCCAACAGGUAAUUCAGAAACUUACUUGAGAACUGGACCUGGCUAUGAUACUGCUAGUUUGGGCAAGAACGUAACUUUCAACAAAUCAUUCCACUCAAGAGUACGGGUACUACUCUAUAUGCCCUUCUUUAUCUUCUCUUUUCUUUCCUCUCCGAUAUAACUCUAUUAACUAUUAAGAUACAGGGGAAAGGUCUUCAACUAGCAAAUCCACUACUCAAAAGGCAAAUAAGGUCAAUUGCUUACUUUUGAACUGCAAUACCGGAUUGAUAGUAUAGUCCUCUCCUUGCGCUAACAAACACGGAUACGGAUUCCACGGAGAUUCCACUCUAACCUCUCUCUACUGGGCCAAGUCACUCUGCACUCUACCUAUGAAAUUAGUAACAGCGUUCUUCUAUACCUCUGGCAACUGCUACAAAUGCCCUGAACCCGAACUAACUAUCACUCGAACAGGCACAGGAGAAGGUAGAAAACAAAAGAAUCAAACCGUAUACUAGCAACCCUGCGGAAAAGCCUCGCAUAGAUGACUUGGACAACUACUAUAAAGGGGCUGGAAACGAGCCUUUUGUACUGUACUAGAUCUUACUAGUUAGGCUAGGGUUGUUUGUGAAGAAGCACUACUAGGUUUGCGAGGGAGAGGUCAAUUGAGCAUCAACCCGGAACUACUAUAUGACUUUCUAGUUUCAUUGGAAGGGAAGGUAUAAAACAGAGGAUAAGAAUUCAUUUAGUAGGGAAGGGACUGCUUAGUCAGAUAAAGAGCCAAGCAACUACGUUAUUAGUAUACAAAGGCAAAGAACCAAGCAACGUACAAUAGGCAAGCUACCUCAUUUCCUACUCAAUGAAGCGUACAAUAGGCAAGCUACCUCAUUUCCUACUCAAUGAAGCAAGUCAGAAUGAAGUAAGGGGGCACAUCGGUAACAGUAAUCAAUUCAAAUUCAGGGAAAUCAUAUAGUACAGGCUUUGUUGCCAGAAGUACCAGAAGUUGUAGAGUAUCUUAAAGCAAGGGCAAGGGGCAAAGCAACUAAAGGGAGUGAAUUAGUAUGUAUGUUAAAUACCAGAGAGGAGGUGGGCAAGUGGAGCAGCUAGGCUUUACUGGUUAAUCGCAGUGGUGGUCGAAUCGAACAAUUCUGAAAAUACGAAGAACUUUAUUACUUGCUAUAGUAGCAAACACAGAUGAAACUAGGGACUCGACAAGACACAACUACUUAUACUACUAGUUGGGCCCUACUUAUACUACCAACCUGGGGUUUGGGGUUCUCUAAAGAAAGAUCAAUAAUGAAUGCAGGUAGUCCUUCUCUUGCACUUAAGUAAGUGGCUGUAAAUAAAUGAGUUUUGUGGGGGUGCCGCGCCUAGCAUAGUAUGAGUGCCUAGCCGGAGGAGAGGGAGAUGAGAGUCUUGUUCAAGUUCUUGUUCGAUAGGACCUAGUUGUUGGUGGAGAAGAAAACCACUUGCCUUACUUCUGGAUUUGAUUCCUUGUGCUUAGGGAGGUAGUAACAAAGCUUAAAGUGUUGAAAGCUCUUUACUGAUCUGUUUGCUGAACGUGUUUCCGACUCGCUUAGAGUUCCUACUAACACAACCGCAAGAGAAAGAAAGCAAAAAGCAGGAAUUUGGACUCAAAAGGAUUUCUUCUUAUUUGUUUAAUCGAGACUUAUUUGUUUUAUCGAGACGUCUAAUAAACCCUAGCUCGCAUUAGCACGACAUCUUAUUGCAACUGUGUAAAGAGCUACCCUAUCUUAUAAUGGGCAUAUUGCAAUUGCAUCCUUCUCGUAUUACCUAAAUUUCCAUUUCAACUGAAAACUCCAUAAGCGCUUAAUCGAGAUGAGAUCGUAUAGACUAAAGGAAAUACCAACCAUCCCUUGAUACUAUACCCAUGGAACUUAAGGGAACACGGAACUCCUCUACGUAAGUGCGCUUCAGCUUCAUAAGACGUAAGGGCUGGAAAAUAAGGAUAUAAGGCUUUCACUUAUGGCCAAGCAACAACUAAGAUGUUAGGUUUUCAUCCGUAACACGUGGGAUGGGCUAUAAAUCCCGUAAUAAGAAUCUCAAUAAGCUAGAGCUUAUCUGCUUAUGUCUUAUCAAUCAAUCUACUUCUAGGCUGUAGAAAUGAAUUGACGCCUCACAUCUUUGGCGCUGUCACCGACCUUGCGUAAGCUGCUAGUGGUUCUCCUGAUAUGGCUUAAACGAUGAGAACUCUACUUUCUUUNNNNNNNNNNNNNNNNNNNNNNNNNNNNNNNNNNNNNNNNNNNNNNNNNNNNNNNNNNNNNNNNNNNNNNNNNNNNNNNNNNNNNNNNNNNNNNNNNNNNNNNNNNNNNNNNNNNNNNNNNNNNNNNNNNNNNNNNNNNNNNNNNNNNNNNNNNNNNNNNNNNNNNNNNNNNNNNNNNNNNNNNNNNNNNNNNNNNNNNNNNNNNNNNNNNNNNNNNNNNNNNNNNNNNNNNNNNNNNNNNNNNNNNNNNNNNNNNNNNNNNNNNNNNNNNNNNNNNNNNNNNNNNNNNNNNNNNNNNNNNNNNNNNNNNNNNNNNNNNNNNNNNNNNNNNNNNNNNNNNNNNNNNNNNNNNNNNNNNNNNNNNNNNNNNNNNNNNNNNNNNNNNNNNNNNNNNNNNNNNNNNNNNNNNNNNNNNNNNNNNNNNNNNNNNNNNNNNNNNNNNNNNNNNNNNNNNNNNNNNNNNNNNNNNNNNNNNNNNNNNNNNNNNNNNNNNNNNNNNNNNNNNNNNNNNNNNNNNNNNNNNNNNNNNNNNNNNNNNNNNNNNNNNNNNNNNNNNNNNNNNNNNNNNNNNNNNNNNNNNNNNNNNNNNNNNNNNNNNNNNNNNNNNNNNNNNNNNNNNNNNNNNNNNNNNNNNNNNUAUCAAGUGGUAGUCCUGUGUGAGUGAUAGUCAGAACCCCGAGUUGAAGUCUAAGUGAAGUACCAUCCCAUACUAUUUCUCUAUUUGCAACGAAAAAACCCGGGAAAACGUAAAAAAGUCAUUUCAAAGGAUCGGUCCAGGAGGGAAACCAGAGUCGCUAUCAGGCAAGUAACUACUAAUGUUACGCGCCAGCGCUGUUUCCCGGGAAAACGUGAAAUUAUCUAUCUUCUUGAUCGGUCUAGGAGGGAAACCUUGGUCGCUAUCAAAAAACACGGGUUUCGUCCAAAAGAUCAUUUCAAUGGGUCGGUCUAUUAGCUAAAAUCACUUCACUGCCUUUUUUCACGGGAAUUAGUGACGAGUUGAAGACCGAUAGUACUGUUCUGGUUAGAGUUUCAUCCCCAACUAGUGGUGGUCCUGCUCGAGUGUGAGUGGAAUUCUGUAUUUGUAGUGGUUUCUAUCUUUUACUAGGGUCGGGGAGUUUACUGACUUGGAAGAAAAAACAAUCCAAUCACAAAUGAUCAAAUCACAGCCAAGACACUACUAAUGACCAAGCCACUACUAACCAAACAACUAAGCAAGACGGCCGCCAAGCAACUACUAACUCCCAAACACAUAGCUAGUCUAAGGCGCAUCUCAUCUACCUAUGGCAACUUCCAACUAUUCACUUCAUUCGGUAUACCUCUGAUUCUAUACCUCUGGGCUCUUUCAACUAAGUUAUAUCUUUCUUCCCUGGGUUUCUUGCUCCAACUCUUUCUGUCCCAGCUCCAUAAGCGUUGUACUUUCAUUGAAGUAGAGUUAAGCGAGUAAAGGAAGUCUGGAGCGAGAGUGAAAGCAAGCCGGGUAGGUAAACGGUACAACAGUGAAGAGCAGAGCAGUACUAGAGAUGCUCUUAGGCGUCAAUUCAUUGAAACAGCUUUGACUCUGCAUAAAAUGCUGGUCGAGGAAAAGUGAGUUGAAAGCUGGUAAUCCGUAAGAUGUUAUGUUAAUCUAUAAUAUGCUAUUGCACUAAAUGAUAUUCAAACAGAUGAACUUCUGCUUGCUUAUGAUCCUGAUCUCCUUGAUUAACUGCUUUAUGCCUCUGAUCCUGUUCUUGCUUCUGAUCGUUUAAUGGAUUUGGAUUCCGCCCCCGCUUUCCUGGCUAUAAGAGUAGACGACUCUCUGGUCUAUGUUAUAAAGAAAAAACACAACAACUCUACGGUCGAUGUUCUAAAGAAAAACACAUUUGAACUGAGGUUAACCGUAGCUAAUUGCCUACCUAUAGCAUUAGCAUACAUAAUAAUAUCUAAUUGAGAAACUUUCCAGGACAACUUAUGGAACAAGACUGGAAUAACCCAAUUAUUUAGUCGCACCAACAUCCACUACAUGUAAUGAAACAAGCUUAGGUGAGUUCCUGUCUGAAGCUAGCACUUACGCCUUUACCUUUCAUAGACUGACUCCGGACCUUUAAUCUAUCAGCUGGGCACCUACCCUUGGUAUAGGAAUGGAAGAGCAUUGCAGAAAAACAUCAAUUUCUUACUGAUGCACUUGUUUCUUUGGCCUCCUUGCUAACGUUUACUUAAUUUCAUCCACCGAGCACAUAGUCAACCAGUAUGAUUUCGAGCGGUCAGGUCAACUUGCUAAUGCCCAUAAAACAGGAAAAGAUUUAAGCACAUAAAAGUGAGUUAUUCUUCUUGCGGGACGGGAAUGGAAGUCAGUCUAGAAGAUUGCUUGUUGAGCAUUAACCGGUAAGUAAAGAGAGUUUCUCUGAGUUUCAGUAUGAAAGCAGUAAGGAUGUAAGGGAGCAAGCCAACUUAAAGGGCGAAGUGUGGGAGACCCAGCCGACAAGCUACGACUACAAAAGCACAGAAAGUCGGCAAGCAACGACAGUCCGGUUAUUACAAUUCCUGUCUUCGGCAGACAAGUAUACAAGCAAGCAACAGUAGGAGUGAUUAGUUCUUGUGCUCGUUAAGUCAAGUAGUCCAGUUUUCUAGAGUAUGAUUUCGUUCCCGCUCCGUCAAGAACAUCUCCAUACCGACAAAGCCCCAAUCAAUCACUUGAACAGAAAAGAAAGAGAAGAAGGACAUUCUCCACUGGGUUAUCCGACCUAAACUCCACUAUCUUCCACUUAUGAUCCUUAUCUAGUUUAUUAUGUUGGGCCUGGACUUUUAGUGGUAGCUUGUCUCUUUCUAUGCUUUUGUAUACUACUACGUUGCUUGGCUGUAUAGGAUAAGAGGUAUUUUCGCUUUGUUGUUGGUUCUUCAAGACUCAUGGAACUCAUCACUCUUACCUCUGAUCGAGGGCUCUUCUUUUCUCCUCAAGAUCGUGUUUGAAUCAUCCACUCACGUCUGAUAAAGCCAUUGAUUGGAGUUGAUUUGACUAGCAUUUCCUUCAUGAACUGGUUCUUUCUUUCAUUCAUGUGGUCUUAUUCAUUUCUUUGGCUCUUAGCACCUUCCUUCUACUUGUUGCAUGAUUUCUUUUUGCAUUACCAAAUUGAUUGGAUUUCCUCUUCUUUUCUUCGCUCUUCUUCUUUUUGUAAAAAUAGCUUGAUCGUAUGGAUGCCUCUUCAUGGAUCACAGGCGCUCUCUCUCCCCAUGGACUUUCCCCUCUGAAAGACGGAGUUAGUCUCUUCAAGAGCACAUAGCUAAUACGCUGACUGGAGUCUCGGGGUGCUGAGUGAUUAAAGCGAAAAGUAAGCUGGUAGAGCGGAGCCUGCAGCCAUAGGUGUAAGGUUACAAUUCUUUCUGUCUUAUGAGACCCCUAAGGCGACUAUACCUCUCAAGCGACUAUAACUCUUGCUACUCUCUGCUCCCUAUCUGCUUUCUUUGCCUUUGUCCAACUAGUCUUAUACUUAUACUUGUCUUAUGAGACCCCUCGGAUCAUCUACUUACCUAUGGAAACUAUGAACUGAAUGAGGUAUACCUCUCCUAUGCCUCUGUCCUUUCUCGAUACCUAUGUAGUGAGUCCUAUGCCUCUGUCCUUUAUGAUAUUAAAGUCGGGUACCUGGUAGUAGUAGCACUGUUCGAGUGAGCAUCCUUUUUUUCUGACUUGCGGAACCCACUAAGAUGUUUGGUUCAAAUGCAUUCGUUGGCAAGUUGAUGAGUUUCCAUGAUAGAUUUCCCAUCAAACUACAGAAGUUAUGUUUUAGUUAAUUUGACACCCAUAUCUUGCUGGUUCAAGGCAACUCUCUGGUAGUACAGGAUGUUUAGUUAAUAAGUUCCUCUGCUCUGGGCUCGGUUCCAAAGGGUUAACCUGUGUUCGAGCGGCAGUCUAACGCAUUUAAGUUGUGGUUUCAUAUCUAUCGCUCCUAGCAUUUCUAUUUCCUGCCUUGUAUGAUAGAAUCUGGUAACCCGCCUGGUAGGUGGCUCCUUAUCUAAAGUGAGAAUGAAAGUGAACCAGAGGGGUCUCGUUGCUUGUCUAGUAGUUCCUUGGCUGAUAGCAAAGUGAGUGGAGUGGUAAAGUGUAAUCUGUAUGAGUUUACUACCCCAACUCAGUUUAGUCAAACUCUUAUCUUAGUUCCAGAAGGUAUGCCGUGAAGCAAGUAGCCAGCUCCUUUUCUUGUUCUUGAUGAGACUGUUCGAGAUCUAACCCUAUUCCUAGUCUUAUUAGAAGAAGACAGUAAGCGCGGGAAGGAAUGUGCGGGUAAUUAACUAUGAAAUUACUCAGUGGUUGCCUGCCCCUAUUGAUUACCCAGGACAGGCGACGAAGCGGACUCCAUAACAUCAGUAGUAGCGAGUGUCUUUCUAAACAUUAUCCUUAAUAAGAGAAGAAUUAAUUGAUAGUGAUUUCUUAUACAUAGCAGUCCGGGUAGUCCACUUCACUUGCAGAACCGAUUGCUCCUUAUAAUUGAACUGACGCCUUAGCACUUAGUCUAGUUGGGGCUGGAAACAAACUACUAGUGGGUGUUGGAAACGUAGUAAACAAGUAUCUUUCUGAGCCGUAUCUUUAUUAGGGUUGAAAAUGAACUAGAGCAGUUUAGCUCCCUACCACAGUAUAUGCUUGUCGUCUUGAUUUACCUUGUAUAUAAGAGAGUCAACCGGUAUUAAUGGCGGCAGGGAGUUCUUUAGCAAAGGCAAAGAAAGAAAGUGAAGAAAGAGUCAAAAGAGCAUAUAAGUUGAAGUCUAAGUGAAAAGAGCAUAUAAGUUGAAGUCUAGGUAAAGUAUCAAGUGUGGUUCAAUUGUCUAGGAAAAGUUGUACUUAAUUGUAUUGUCUAGGUUCGUAGCUAGGCAAAGAAAGGAAAGGGUUAGUUAGGUCUACGAGAUCAGAGGAAAGAUAAGAGGAGAGGUGGGUUCGGUUCAAUGAGCGGCCCCAAAAACAGGAAUGCCGAGCAGUAGUGCUAGGUUUAAAGCAAGGGUAGGCAGCUUCAGGUGCAGUAAAGGAAGUCCCUCUCUCUUUGCAGGCUUAGAAGUGUUCGGUAAGGCGGCAGCCUUUUCAGUAGUAUUUAGAGUCUAAUCGUUACUAGUGGAUUUCUUGUCCCACUCUAUCAAUCUUGUCAGUACCAGUUCACAAUCCUAUAUUAUAAGAGAAAGCAUUAGAACCAGCAGUUACGGAAUGAAAGUCCGCAGUGUAAGAGGGGAGUUCGGUAAGUCCGUUUCGUAAUGAUAUACAGUAAAGCGAGGUUCGGAGUAAUUAGUUGCAGAAGAAAAGUAAGCCAAGGUAGACCAAUAGGCAUUAGUAGCAGUCUCAUCCUUUGUAGUUUACUUAAUGGUAGGUGGUAGCAAUAUACUUCUAUGGAGUAGAUAUAGAUUGAGAUAAAGCAGUGUCGAGCUAAGAAGCUCUAAAGCCAGACUCCGAGCAAGGAUAGGUGGAUUCUCACUAGGGUAUAGGACUAGUUAGGCAGGGAGCUCGGGUGCAGUGAGUCAUACUUCUCGUUUGGUGGAGAAGUCGCCAGUAUUGUAGUUAGUCGUUGGGGAAUGAGAGCUGGAAACCCAGUGAAUUAUUAUGCUCGGGAUUUGUCUUGUUACUGCCGGUUUGAUUUCUUCAAUUGCUUUCUUUGAUUCUAGAGCUAUUUGUAUGAGUUUACUUAGAAAGCCGACUUCUUUGUUUUAUUCCGAUACUAAUACAGUAGAGCAGGAACCCCACCCUAAUUCAAUAGGGAAGUAUACAAGACCUAGAUAAGGGAGUGGAAGGGGCAAGUACAAAUACAUGUUCUAACUCACCAAGCAACUAGUAUAAGACAAAGAAAUGAACUAAGUAGUCAAGGAAUCAAACAAGCCCCAAGCCGGGAGUGCUAGUUUCAAGUAAGAAUUCAGGGAGAAAGGUAGAAAACGAACUGGAGUUGUUAGUUUCAAGAGCUUAAGAGGUAUAUCCUGAGGUAGAUUAGACUGCUCGAGGUCUCAAGUUUCAAGUGUUGUUCUUUCCCCCCCAAGUAGUGGUCCAAGGAGAGUUUCUUUUGGUGCGAGAGAGGUUCGAUCUCUUGUGUCGGUGAACAAGUCAGCAGCAAUUCCAGUAGACAUCGACAGCAGAAGAAGAAUAAAGUACUGUCAAAAAGGCUUUGAAGCGCUAUAAGUCAAUAAGUAUAGUCACCUUGUUAGCGAGGCGGUCAAUUAUAGUGCCUCGACUUGAAGUGUAGUUGCUCGUCUGGAUGAAACUCAAACGGGACCAGGACCUGGACUUAUAGUAUUAGCUUGUCUUGUAUAUUAGUUACUUGGCGUCUGCUUGUCUGCAGCUGACCUUACUUAGGGGUUACUAAAACAAUGGUACUCGCACCUUACCUUCCACUUCCAACAAAUAGAAAUUGGAGUGAACCUCCACAAGCAACAGACAGAUAUGAAACUUAAGCUAGAAGAUAUCGCGCUUCAGAGGAUAUUUCUUCUUUUCUUUUGCCCACCUAUCCUGGAAGUUCCUUUCAGUUUGCAGCUGACUUGUUUUGUUCAACAGAACUACUUGCUAUUUCUUCUCCGGAUCUUGAAACUGCUGUUCCUAAGCUUGCGGAUUGUGAUCUACCAGUUGCAUCUUAUUGAGUCGACUUCACGGAUUACUUUAGCAUAGCAUCUUAUCUCGUUGACAAAAAGUAACUUAACCUUGUAGUGGGCAUUCGUUCUUAAAGAGAUUCUAUUCGGCUUAUACAUAGGAGACUAAUGGACUUAGCGCGCAGAACUAUACAACCUUAUCCCUUAUUGCCGCUUACUUGGAAACUGCUUCUGUUCCUUCUAUAACUGUUGGUGCUAUUGCUUCCAUAGAGGUCAGAGGUAGAUUAGAGGAGCCUAGCCUAAUGAAGUGAAGUGCUAUCCUAUAAUCUUAUAUGAAUUCCAAUUCUUAUCUUUAAGGAGGGAAGGGAGCCUACGGGUUGGCAAGAAAGAGGGAAAUAAAGUCUAGUUUGAAAGUAAAGUCCUUUGUUCACCGAUGUGAAUAACAAGUACAUAUUUCGGAAUCCAUCUUUGUGGCUACGAGAGCGAGAGAGAAACUAAUGAGUGAGAGCAAGUCUAUCAAGAGCCAGAAAUAGCAAAGACCCUAAUACACUCUUACAACUCAGUAAAGGCGGUUUUCGAAGACUUGAGGGCAGCACUCAGGGAGAAGGGAGCAGGACUGCAUGAAAGGUUUUUAACAUACUUACAGGAGAGAGAGUGGCCAGAAGAAUACACCCUCCAGCAGUUAAAGGAAAAGUACUUUCUACUGGAAUAGUUUGAUGCGAGGGUAGUUGUUGCAUUCUAUUACUACUUAGUGAAAUUCUGUAAUUCGACACCAUGAGUUGGCGAACACAGGACUUGAAGACGAAACUCGGUAUUCCACUCACUACUCCUCUGUCAACUAAGUAAAAGUCAGUAAACCAGCCUAGCCUAACAAGCUAGUCAGUCAGUCUUCCCCGACCUCGCCUCUGGCUCUAGCACUAACUGACUUAUAUAAUAGAACGGAUGAAACUCCCCGAACUUCCCCGAAACUUAUUAUAGAGGCUUCUAACUUUCCUACUUGCUUGUUAGUUUCAUUCUGUAUUUGACUAUGGGGAGCAGCUUCUCUAAUACCUAGGCUUGGAGGGGAACUCUCUUCUUUCACUUUCAUUAAGUAAACUCUCUUCUACAACUCUAUUCUGUAGUUAAGUAGAGGACCAGAGUCGCGGUAAGUCUAGACUACACUAUACUUGUUGGGGCAAUCACUACAUUUGAAUAACAGACCUCCACUCAAGCUUGCAACAAAGCCUUGACUUUCUGAUUCCUCGGUAUCCGUAUCCCUCUGGCGGAUUAUAAUAAGGCACUCGGGAUGAAACAAGUGGCUACUUAACCGACACAAGAACGGAAAGAGACUUGACUUUAACCUCGCUUCACUGCUUCCCUUUCUACCCUAACCUGAACUACCGGUCUGAAGACUAACACUCGAACAGGAACAGGAUCAAACAAAGGAUUUGAAACAGUAGCUGGAGAAGAUAUAGCUCUGGGUAACUAACCAUGGGCUCUCAACUUCAAAUACAGAAUUCCACAAGCCCAGCAUGCAACGGGAAGGAAAGCCUACCACUACUCGGUUAAGCCUCAGCCUUUGACUCCCUCGGUGAAGUCUUGCUGGCACUGGGGUAAGGCUUGCUGGUACUGCUUUGAUUCCUGCUGGCACUCGGUUAAGGCUUGCUGGGCGGUGUUGUAGUCUUUGAUGCAGUGGUUGGUGUCUUAGUGACAGUGGUUGAAGAAUGAGUGACGCUAGGUUGAUUCUUGGAUGCACUGGUUAGUGGUUGUAGUCUUUGAGUUAGUGGCUAGAGCCUGGUUGUUAGCUUCAUUCUUGCCCUUACUGGUUGAAGUCUUGGAUUUAGUGGUUUGAUUCUAACUUUCCUACUUGCCCACCUCAGAGAAGAUCUCAUUCCGUUCACCUAUAUAAAGAUAUUAUCUCAUUUAGUAGGGGACACGCCUACAAAGGUGAUCGAUUGACUACUUGCUUAACACAUAGGUGAGACUACUCCACUCAAUGUAUAAAGAAUCGAGGUAAAGUCCUUAUUUCUCCCGACCAAGCCGAUCGCCAAGCAACGAGACCCCUCCAGUGAACUUUCAUUCUCACUUUCCGUAUUGAGAGAAAGAGCACCCGGCUUGUCACAGCUUCCAUUCUUCCUCUGUUACUACUGAGGCGAACAUAGGACUUCUAUCUUUCUAUACUUUCUCCUAUAUGAUGUGAUAUUCCGUUCACCUAUAUAAAGAUAAUCUAGAUAAUAGUAGGGGCCAAGUAGGGAUCAGAGCCAAACAAUUAUAUCUUUUCCUCAUUGCUUAACACAAGCAUCCGAGCCUAGUCACUGAAGUAAACAAGAACUUACUAUAAGGGCCACCACCCUAACAAGCUAGUCAGUUUACCACCCUAACAAGCUAGUCAGUCAACAACACUACCCGAGUCAAUAAACCAGAUCCGUGCAGGAACCAGAAAGUCAGUAACCCAGCCUAGUACUAGUAAGUCAACUCCCCUCUCGCCAACUACUGGAAUGGAAUAUCUCUCUUACCUUACCGGGAAUGGAAUAUCUCUCUUACCUUACCAGGAGUUUAGGCUAGGCAAGUCACUAUCGGCGUUAGUUGUUACCGAGUCCUGUUUUCUUUUGUUGACACUGGCCCAACCCUAGCUAGAGAUCGAAUACCAGACUAACUGCCCCCGCAUGGCCUCACUGCUUGUUGAAACAAGUCAUUAAGAAACAGACUUAGGGUAGUAGGCAACUAACUUAAGAGGGUUCAGGUCUACACUACAAUACAAGAAUAGGGGUCCGGUAUACACUAGAAAUUCAUUCUAAGCUCCAUUAGGUGUAUUACAAGGGGGGAAUUCUAUCAAAAAUCAUCUCCAGAUUGCAAAUAAAGCAUUUGAAUCCUAUAAAGCAGGGUCGAGUUGGAGUGUAAGCAGCAGUAAGAGUUAAGUCAACCAGAUCAGUAGAAGAAACAUAAUCAGUGUAAGAUAAGAUGAUACAGAAUUGAAUACAGAUUCCACAGGCAAGGAAGCACUAACGGUAGCAAUAGCAAGAGAGGAUCCUCAGCCUACUAUACAAUUGAUCCCAACUAUAUUCUUGCCCGCUUUCAGCUUACUUGAUAACAGCUUCAGAUCCCGGGUUUACUAAAGGCUCUGCUCUAACAGCUCCGCUUGCCUGCUUACAGAGAACUUGAUUGAUUUCUUUCUUACUAUACGAGAUUCCUACCCGCUUUCUUUCUUUCGCCAACAACUGGUACAUCUUCCGCAUCAGUAAGAAGUUGAUUCCCGCUUCAAAGCCUUGACUUUCUUCUUUUCUUGACUUUCUUCUUUUCUUAAAUAUAAUAGAAAUAUAAUAAGUGGUCGAAUACAGGACAGAUAUAGUCGUUCCGCUCUUGCUCUUGAAACCUCAGAUUAUCCUGCUCACUCGAAAGAAACAGCAAAGCUACGUAUACAAAGGCACAGCUAUGGACCAAAAGCCCUAGUAUAGUUCAGUGGCUUGCUUCCUCGCCUGCCUCUCCUCUCAAGUCACUUAGGAUAUCCCUUUCCGAUCUUACCUCGUAUUGCAGGGUGAAGACUUCUAGAUACAGGACUUGGUCACCAAAUACUUCUUGAAACUAACCUAACUCCCAAACCACAUAGCAAGUAGGCACCAACUACUAACCAAGCGUAUACUACUGGACUGGCACCCGAACUAGUAUGUAAACUACCCGCGCCUCAAAGCAAGUACUCUCUGGAACCACCCUGCCCCUUGUAUUGGAAUCAAACAAGUAAUUAAACAAGCCAAGCUGCUGGCCCCUGAUUGAAAGUACUAAUCCACUUCUUAUUGUAUCCCUGCCUCCCCUUCUGACUUAACUGCUUCCAAAGAUUCAAGUAGGUCCGCUCAUUCUAAGUGGGUUCACAAGAUUGACAUUCUUAUUGUCAACUUACUAGAAGGGCCUAUCCUAUGGCUCCCCAGUCCUUGCACAGCUACUACCUUCUGAGUCCUGUGCCCCUGGCUAUCUGUUCUAUCCUCUUCUCUUGCUCCGCCAAGCAUAUACUCGACAAGUUUCACUCCUAACUCAUUGAACUCCUAACUCAGGUACCAGUGUACUAAUUGCUGUAAGUGUUACUGAUUUCUUUGACUACUUAGUUUCAUUCUAAGAUUUACUAGCUCCAUUCUAUCAUAUGCUAUCUCAAUUCUCACGUUUUGCACUAAAUCAAACAAGCCCUUCCCUUUGCGCUAUUGCUUAUUUACCCACGAGGAUAGUUUACCAGACAAAGAAGAAGUCAAUUACGAGGAUAGUUUACCAGACAAAGAAGAAGUCAAUUCACUUCCAGUACAGGAAAAGGUUUUCUCGUUGAAGAUCUUAUUGCCCUAACUCCACUUUUAGAACCAACAACAUUAGCACCCGAAGACGACGAAGAAAGGACUUGUAAGAAUAUAGUUUCGCCUGCAUGAGAAUUCUGCUUUUCUCAAUAGGAAUAGAAUCUUUAUAGAAAUCAAAAGGAAAGGGUCAUAAGGAGUUUUUUGUUAUGAGUUAGGUCCAAGUAACUACUAAGUAACUACUAACCAAGCAGACAAGCGACUACUACAAAAGCUAAGAGCGGAGAGACAAAACCAAUAAUGUUAGUUAGUUCGGUGCCCUUAUGGAGUCCUGACUUUAUGGCGGUAGCGAACUUAAGAGGGUUAGUUCCUUUCUUUUCUGCUCUUGUUCCUAUUCCUACUUUCGGAAUCACUGGCUACUUACUUUAGCACCCGUAGAGGUAAUGAAACAGGCCUGGCCUACCCUAGUUAAGGAAUGACACAAGCCCUCGUAUAGGAAUGAAACAAGUCAAUAAACUACCGUACCCCUAGUCACUUCUUUAAACAAGCAAAGCUGUCAACUAAAACGAUCCUCUGGCUACAACUACCGGUAUUCACCAACAACUCGAACAGUCUCUUUUCACUCUGUCUCCUUAACUCCCUAGUAAUGAACUCCUCUUUCUUUCCUACCUAGACCUAACUUGAGCCUCUGAUUCUUCACCAGCUCCUUAUGAUUCUCGAACUCCCCUUCCCGCUCGUACCUGAUCUAGCUCCUGCUGAUUGAGUUUCUUUCCCCUUGUUCAUUAGUUCAGUCUUGUUGGCACUGGUGUAAUUCCCGAGUUCGAGUAUAUAAAGUAGUGUGGCAGCCUUUGAAGCACUAGUCGGAUUCUUUUGUUAUAGGGAAGAUAGUUCCAUUCUUUCCAGUAGUCGUAGUAGCCUUGGAAGCAGUAGCUACAGGCUAUAUUAAGUAGUUGAUUCCCUAUUUGUUAGUUGAGCUCGGCCAUACCCUUUCUUUGCCCAACACUCAGUCUUAGACUACACUUAGCUCAAUUCUAGCUUUGAUACCUUAGCUUUUAGUCUUCCUUGACUUUACCUUAUUCCUCAAUUGUAACAUAGCACACUGCCGCUACACUCUUUUGAGUGCUUUUCGUACUUUAUCCUACAAUAAAGAAAGAAACUGGUGCCUAUUGGAAUUGAACUAAGAGGUAAGAAAGGUGCUGAAAGCCUGCUGCUAACUCUAAAUUGAACUACUCUACCUGAUAGGUCAAACACAUAACUUAGCCUUUGUCCCCUAGCUUUUAGUCUUGCUUUACUUGCCCUGAGUCUUGCUUCACAGUCGAUGAGUCUCUGUCCUUAACGUUACUUAGUUUAUUUACUUAUAUUUAGAAUAAGAUCUAUGACAUACUGGAAUUGAAUCAAUAAUAAGUAGAAGAACGAACUACCAACACAACUAAUAAGACUAGGGUAAGAGCAUAGGAGCUUAUCUGACCUACUUUUGGGUUAGAGCCUCCUUAAUUCCCUAUUUACAGUUUGAUUCCUGUGCCAUAGUUUUUAUUUCAUCACUGCUACUCGGAGUGACAAUUACAAGGCUUUGUUUUCAGUCGGGCUUUCCUUCUUGUUCUGGUGUUGAUUAUUCCUUAUUCCCUUUGUUUGAUCCUAUGCUUUAUGACACUAUAUCAUAUGGUGUAUCUACGACGUUGACUAUCGAAUUCAAUAGGCAAUUAGCAUACUUCAAAAAGUAAACUAUACUGUAUAGCUGACAUCAAUAUCAGAAUUGAGCUAAGAAAGAAGGAUUAAAAACAUAAGUGAGAAUAUCAGAGGGGUUACGCAACAUCAGAUAUAUUUUGUAUAUGGCAAAUCAGAAUCCAAUCCUGUAUUAGUAGAGACAAGUAACGACUAGACGCCAAGCAACGGGACAGGCAACUACGACUAUUAGAAUGAAACCGCUACUCGUCAGAUGCCCUAGGUGCCUAAAGAAGGCAUUAGUCUAAAUCCUACUCAGGGGUCUACUACUACUACUGAUAAGAAUACCAACUACAUAAGACGAUAACUCAUAAGAAAGAAUCCAAUACUGCCCUAACGGCUUUAACUCAAUACAUGGAAUCCAAUCCACUCCAUUAUAGAACUCCACUAAUACUAUCAGAACUAAACCCAGCAGUCCGAGCCCCCUAACGAUUGCAUAUCCUUAUUGCCUUUCCCUUGGCCCGACACCCCUUGCUUGUCCUUACUUAGUUGCUCGCCGAGUGAAAGUGUUUUUAUGCGGUGUUCAAUUCCUAGUUUCCUUUCUUCUACUUAUUUGUUUGAUUCCCGAGUUAGUAGUGGGGGAGUUAGAUACAUUAGUGGCAGGGCUGGGUUACAAAUUGAGUGCUUUUUAUCCGCUUACUAUUAUGAGUUUUCUUGUUCAUAGCGUUGUUCUAGUAUGUUCAUGCGAGUAUCCAAUCUAUUAGGUAGUGUUUUCAACCUAGGCUUCAGUCUUUCCAGUAGCAGUUAUAGAGAAUGAGACCACAAACGGGAAGUAAGGUUUAGCUGAAAGUUUUUCUGUUUGAUAGUAAGGAUCGGAAGAGCCAAACUCGACUGUGAGGUAAGGGCUGCAAGAAUGGUAGCCUGUAAAGGCGGACUAAAACAUAGGUGAGCAACACCUUAUUAUAGUAUGGAUUCCGAUUAGCAACUGUUAAAGCUAUGUUAGUACUUGUUGAAUUGAACUAGGGCUUCGAACACCCAGUAACUCACCGGCAAGCUACUCUACGACUACAAACUCUACUCUCAGUUCAUAACCACUUCUAGCCUACCUCCCCUCUGGUCUUGCUAAUCUACCUCUGUAAACUCAUAAAGUUGUUGCUCUGGACUACUCCGACUACUCUACUGGUUGGGCAAGGGAGACAAAGACAGGACUUCCCUCUUUCUCCACUUUUUCCUUAAUAAGAAGAUCUGCCUCCCCUUUCUCUGAAACUUCCAAUAAUACCUGUUAGCCCGCCCUUCCUUAGCUUGCAUUCUUAUGAUUGAGUUGGCGCCGUCUUUCCCGUCUAUCAUCCUGACUAUCCUUUAUCUCUUUCUGAAGCUACUGAGUGGUGAGUUGAAGCCCAGUAUUAAUGAGUCAAAUUCCUACUUUAGAGUUGAUAGCGAAGUGACCCUCUGAUACUAGAUGCGCUUAGUUUCAUUCUUAUACUACUGAGUUUGAUUCUCACUUUCUAACUUUCACUGGGGAGUUAACUCAUAAACUACUGGCUCGGCUCUGUAAACAAAUACUUCUUGAAAGAGCUAUACCGACUUGACUUAAUAUAAGGCUUUGCUAGACUAGCACAAAAGUUCUCUUUCCACUCCUCUUAUAUACAAAAGUCAUCUUUCCACUCCUCUUAUAUACAAGUGAACAGUAAACACAAGUGAACAGUAAACAACAUGACAUUCCAACUUUACUAAAUUCUAUCUUAUAUUUCUUAAGGAUAACUGAUGAAACUUCCCUUGAAGACCAGACCCGACCUCUUAAUCAUGAGCUAGGUAUGAUAGUUCUAUUACUAUAUGCGGGCAAAGUCACUACUAGACAAGAAAGCCAGUACUACCAGAAGUAACCAACAACUUAUUAUAGAGGCGUGCCUCUUAGAUGAAAGUAUGAGACAAACUACAACUACAAAGGCAAAGAAAACAAUAAAGCAGGCAAUUCGAGUCGACACCGCGCCUCAGAAAGACGACUUGGACCACUACUUUUCAACUUACGACUUAUAUACUCCCCCGAUUGCUGCUAAUACAGAUUCCACUGGACUACUUAGGGCUUUCAAAACCAAGUCCUGUGUUCAAGAACAAGUACUACCUUGUCUGAAACUCUUCCUCAAACAGAAUCAUGAGCUAGGUAUUCUAGAAAUAAGUAACCCAGGAAAAGAGGUGGGUCCAGAAAUGCAGCAAGUAAGAAUGAAGGUAUUGUUGCCAUAGGUAUAGGAGCCGAAUGAAGUUCAUAGUUUACAACGGUAUUGAAGCCAGCAGCUAGUUUAGAUGAGCCAUAGGAGAGUGAAAAGAGCCAGAAGAUAGAUAUAGUAGCCAUAGUUCUAGCAGGUAUAUAAGUGGCACUCGCUUAAGGAGCUGAGCUAGCAAGUGAAGUUGAUUCAUAAGUCGUAGUAGUACUGUUCUGGUUCUAAAGUCUGGUGAGUAUAGAGAGACAAGGGGAGCUCGAGAAUCAUAAGGAGCGGGUGAAGAAUCAGAGGCGAAAGUCAGGUCUAGGUAGGCAAGCUUCAUGACUCAAAUCCAUUCUCGUAAUUGCUUGGUUACUCGGUAAUAUACUUAGGGCUUCAAAGCCGAACCUUGAAACAACAAUUGUACCAGUAGGGCCAUGCCAGGAAUGAAAUCUUUCUCUUCUCUUGCUACCGUAAGGGCACUUGUUCUUGUGCCGAGUCCACUACUCCACCUUUCGCUCGUUCCGAGUCAACAACUCCCGUUAGCGCCUUACCUUAGCCACUUAGUAUUAUUGGUCCGGCUACCCCUAAUUCUCAUCUUUCUUGCACUGAAGGAACUGCACCCGCACUGCCAACUUUAGCCUCUGAUCCAGCUCUAUCUUCUGCUUUAGCCUCUUCUUAUCCUUAUUCUACCCCAUCAUCAGAUCCUUCUUAGAAUCCUGUUCUGCCAAUAACAUCAUACUUAACUGGAGCUGGACCUGGCAGCAAUACUUAAGCCUCAAUCAAAGUCAAGUAUCCGACAAGUAAAGCAACCAAGCGACUACUAAACAAGCAUAGAAACGUAAACUUGAAUGGAAUAUCUCUAAACUCAUACAGAAUCCAACAAGAAAUACAAAGAAUUCAACGGACCCUAUUAAGUAAGUAGGAAACUCCAUUCUUAUAACUGUACUGGAAAGCAAGAAAGUCAGAAGCAAGCUCCAACCUCAGCAUUGAACUGGCUCCAAGGAAACCAUCUUUUAUGUAGAAUGAGAAUUAUCCUACCGCAACACUCGUACCCUCAACUCGAUUCUGGUAUUUCAAGCUUUCACUCUUAGCACAACCUACCACUCUGUGAUUACCAACUAGAAAUAUCCAUACGCUCUCGGUUACCUUAAGAACUCUUUUAGUGCAAGGCAGCUCACUGACACUGAACUUUGAUGCUUGGACCACUAGCAGGAGCAAGCCUACAGUCAAGUAACUACUAGACAAGCCGAGCAAAAGUUAAGUAUUAUUUAUACAUUUGCUAUCAGCCAAGUUACUACUAGGCAAGUAGACAACCAACCACGAAGCUAUCAGCCAAGUCAUUACUAAGUCCUGUGUUCGGGUGCUAAGAGCCUAGUGUGGUUAGUUUUAUAGAUAGGAUCCGGAUCAGUAUAGUAAGUCCUAUUUCUUUGUUUGCUUCUUUAUCGUUAUUGGUGGUUCAAUUCGGUCUUUUUGCCCAGAUCAUAUCGGCUGUUUACCAUCUGUUCCAUUCUCACUGGUGCCCUUCUCCAUUCUUAGACUCACUAAUGAGAUGAAUUCUUCCCACACAAUACGCAACACCAUUUUGAAUGACCUUGUGCUCCGCCCUGCCCUAAGCUUCCAAUACAAAUACAGAAGAGUGAUUUUCAUUCUGAUUUAAUAGAGCGCAGUCUUAGCUUCCUAUCCAUCCGAUGUCUCCUUCCUUCAUUCUUCUUCUUCUUCUUAGUAUAGUAUUCCUAUCUUUUCAUUAUUAGUGGAAUUUCUACGUAUGAGUUGUUGUCUUAUCGGUAGUAGCGAUAUUCUUGUUAGUGGUGAUUCGAUCCCUAGUUAGUGACUAUUGGUUGCUGUCUUUAGUUAUGCCUUCUCGUUCUUUUCUUUAACUCAAUACUGGCAUCCUUGCUUCUGCAGAUCAGUAAACCAAUAUCCCCUGCUAAGUCUACUGCUACUAUCUCCAAAAACAAUGCUGCUUUAUCUCAUUCACCAAGCUGCUACUACCAUUAGUAUUAUUUGUAUUAGAAACUAAUCCUAACCUAUAAACUGACCUCACCGAACUAUACUUAGCAUUCUGAUUUGUCAUUGAAAACUUCCACGCUCUUGUACUUACUACCGAUAUUCUUUAUUCUCUAUAUCGUACCUAUAUUCUGUAUUUCCAGAUUUCUUCUUACUCCUUUGGCUUCUUUUUCUUCCUUUGUCUUGCCCCUAUUUAGGGUUAUUCUCAUAGCUUAUUGAUAAACAUAUUCUAAUAUCGGCGAAAAGAAUCAUUAACCUAAGUAGUAACCUUAAUAAGGCACGUAAGAAUAAAAGACAGUAAAGAUAGGCUUGUAUUAAGGAGAGACGGACUCUAACUAAGCUUGGAAGCUAUUAGGUAAGGCUCGGGAUACUAGGGCAUAUAAUAGGGGGUCCUCUGCUGUUCGAUUCUAUCCCUUGAGUUUCUAUUAGUUUAGGGCUAUGGCCUUGUUAGUUGCAGUUCAACCCGAUAGUUAACCAAUAAAAGAUAGAUUGGUGCCCCAAGGUAUUCGUUUUAGAGUGAGUAGCUACAGACCUCGUUUUGUAUCUCAGGAAAAGAAAGCAAGUAUGGAUACCUUUCCUUAUUCUCAUGUACUAGAUCAAUUCUGAGAAGCACCGGUUCAAGCCACCAAGGCACUGCUAAUGUGACGCGGUAGCGAGCCCUCAGUGGUUAGAGACCUUGGCGACCAAUACAGAGAGUCAAUGGACACCGCGUCAGGCUGAGAUGCACUGGUUGUAGUCUUAGUAGUCGUGAUAGCUGGGGCUGCUAGUUGCUAGUUUGAUUCUUAUCCGCGAGCUCACCUCUUAGUUGCAUUCUGGAUUUCCGUACUUAUGGCUUAGCUUCCUCUCCUCUCUUUGAUUUCCUGGUUCCAUUCUUAUACUGACUGGUGGAAUUCCCCCUUCCCUUAGUCUUACCUCUCCUCUUCUCUUGUCUAGUAGUUGCUUGGUGGACUCGCUUCUAAUUCCACUUUCAUUCUAUCUUGACUACUUUCAUUCUAUCUUUCUCCAAAGAAUCGAUGCUUUUGAGCUUGGAAACGAGUUGCUGAUGGCUAUCUGGCAUUCUAUUAUGCAAAGCACUCGCCCCCCUUAUGUCUGCGUCUGCGCUAAUUGAGGAAGGAGUGUGUUGACCCCAUUUAAAGGGAGCCUGAUCCCAGUUGUUAAUUGAUCUGCAUUUUUGGGUAACCUCUAUGCUUCUCGGCCUUAUCUCCUUUACACCCUGAUAUGGAAUUAGUUGAUGCAGGGUUUGCGCCCAAACUCUUUCUGGGAUCUGCAGCAGAGACAGUUUCCCCCACACGAGUGGCGCUGGAUCCUCCUUUAUUUCCUCAAGGAUGUAUCUGUACAACGAAGCCAAAGACUUCCAAAAGGAUAGGUUAAUCAGCGUGUCUUUGAAUUCAGGGAAGAUCUUGCUCAUGAGGGUUCGAGUGCUCGUUCUAGGAGCUCCUUCCUCAAUGAAUAUUCCAACAUAGAAAUUGUUCCCUGUGUCUCAAAGAAAAUUCCAUCGAAAAGAAAUAAAGAAAUGUGGAAUUGUUUAGAUCAUUAGCUGCAGGAGUGACUCGGCUGUCUAUACGUUACUUGGCCUAUACCGAGUAUACUCAAAUGAAUUCUCUUUCAUUAUAUAGGAUUCUAUUUCCUCUUGCGACAACGGGGUCCCUUCUCUGGUUGCGACAACGGGGUCCGUCCCUUCUCUGGAGUGGCAUCUCGGCUCUGGAUAGUGUGUUAGUCGAAGAAACUUCUUGCGUAAUUCUACUGCUACGGAUAACCAUAAGUAUAGAUUGUUUUCAUGCUAUCGGAAUAGAAAAGAGAAUGCCCAAUGCCAUGCCUAACUGGCGGUAAAAAGGGAAAAUAUACCGACAAAGAAAAACGAAUGAUUGAUAACAAUUAAUGAAAUAAUGGAUAAAUGACUAGUAGAGAAGAUUAGGAACGAAUAAUGAAAGAGAAACGAAUGAGUAAAGGAGGAGUCACUGAGGGAAAAGAGCCUAUAAUAUGAGAAAAGAAUAUGAUAACAAAAAGAAUAUAAUAUGAUAGAAUAUGAGAAAAAAGAAGCGAAAAAAAGGAUGACUAGAAACUAAAACGGAGGGAGAAAUAAGGGGGAGAGAGCUUAGGAAUAUCAGGGAGAAUAGAGGCGAAACACCCUAUCUUUCCUUAAUAGACGUGAAACACCUUCUCUUUCUUAAUAGACGUGAAACACCUUCUCUUUCUUAUUCUAAUGAGGGAGGAGCAAAAUACAGAGGAUAUGACAAAAAGCCCGAGGGCGACCCAACCUCUUGUGAACAAUCCGCAGAUUGAAAUUAGUAAAAGCUAUGAAAUUCGCAACAGUCGGCUUGGCAGGUACGUACUUGUUGGAUCACGUAGGGGCGGAAAGAGCACCCACUAUGGUAGGGAGGUUAUCGCGUGAUGCGGAAAGAGCACCCAACCCACUAUGGUAGGGAGGUUAAUUAAUAAGAUCAGGGCUACCCGACACAAGAGCAGAAAUCUACUUUUUACCGGCAAGCGUAUACUACUGGACUGGAACCCGACCCGGCCUAUCUUUCUGAUCCUGCCUCGGAUCUUGCCUCGGAUCUUGCUCCUAUGUUUUAUAGGCUUGAAAUGCUUUCUUUCUCAUAUGGAGCUGUUUUGAAUGUCAUUUGCCAUCAACACAAAAGAAGUUCUGUUAGAGUGCAUUUCCUCCUAUAAGAUUGAUGGUUCGACUUCACCUCUAGCUCUGUAAACUAAUUCUGUCAUUCCUACUUCUGAGGUUGUCUCUCUCUUACUUGAAACAAGAACUCCCGGCUCAGCGAACUAAGGCUCAGAUCAUCUCUUUGAACUCUGUCUUGUCUACUUGCCGGAUAGCUUGAAUAGCUUCCCGAGCCUAGUAACUUCAUGAAACAAUCAAUACAGAAUACAGCGGGCUCUGGCUCUGUGAACUCAAACUACCCUUUCUGCUACCUUAUAUAAGAGAACUGAUUGAACUCCAUGGCGCCUACCUCGACUCUUGAACCUACCUAUCCUCUUCUCUUGCAACAAAGACAGAUUCACACCAAGAACGGAAAUAGACUGAACUGCUUAACUGCUACAUGGGCAUAAUUGGAUUGGACUUCUGAAUUUGAUGCAAGAAAGUAAAGCACAACGAAGGAAAGAUAUUCGUAUUCUUGACUUAUGGUCAUAGGUAAGAAGUAGCUCCAUUCUUAUCUUAGUACUAAAUGUGCUUUGACUACUUAGUUCUCUAAGUGUUAUACCAGUAAUAGCAAUACCCCAGUGGAAUUCUUUGUUGAUUCCGGUUUCCUAUAUUAAGAAGUCCUAUGUUUCCUAUACAGUGUCAGUACACGGGUUUCAAAACGCGAAGACAUAUAUUGUAAUAACUUCGUUAUGACUGUCACUUGCUGCCGCUCGAGAUUAGGACUUGGGAACAACCCCAUAAAACAUAUUAUAUGAGUUCCUUGCCUUCUAUGUUUUCGUAGCAGUUACUUGGCCUGAUUUAUUUGUGAUUUGAGAAAUUGAUUCAUUUUCUUACAAUACCCUAGCCCGACCCUACCUAGUAUGUCUAGUCCACCCCACAAAGUAAGUAAUCAAGCCCUACCUGAACUAGUAGUUUCGUGGUGACUUUAUCCUUGUUUGUAUUGACAGGAAAGAAGAGAAGAGAAAGGAGACAUAAAUCAAUAAAUACAGAAAGGACUGCCGCGUAACAUUAGUAGUUACUUGGCCGGUCUUCAACUAGCCAAUAACCUACUACGCGCACUAUAAUCAAUGGUCAGUGAAUUCUGUGACUUCCACCUCCUGAGUUGAGAAUUUCCAUUUCAUUUAAGUGUUAGGAGCUACACCAAGAGCGUAUACAUUGAGGUAAUCCGGGUCUGGUUCUUAGCUUUGCAUCGAAUUAAACCACAUGCAUGCUCCGGCCCCCGUAAAUGACUUUUAGCGAACGACGAAUUCUUCCUCUUCGGGAGAUUGCUUGGAUAGGUCCCGUGUGUGUCCUUUCUAUCUCUCGAUGGGCAGUGGAUCUGAUUCAAACAUGAACCAAUGACUCGAGUCACUCGGGCAUUCCUACAAGAGAUCUUCCUUCUAACCCAAACGGAAAGGGAUUCUUUACGCCUUAACCUUUGUACCGCCUUUACCUUUCCUUUCUAACUGUCCCCAUUCUAUACUACAACACAAUAAACUCCACUUUAAGAACCCUACUCACUACAUACAGCUGGAAGAUGCCGUUCCAUUACGUGGGUAUUAUUCCAGAGAUUCUAUUCGAGAUACAGUAAAAGUAGAACUCUCUCUCCUUGAUGAACCAACAACACCACUGUAAACCCGGAUUUAUGUCCCACUGACUGGAUACUCUGACUUUAGCCUUCUUCUCGGCUCGGCUGAUUAUCUCGUAGACAACAAACAGAGGUAAAGCCAAUAAAGGAAGGGAAAGCCCGGAACUGUGCUUGUAGGGGAAAGCCUAUAACGAAACUUCACUACAACACUAUUAGGAACUCGAUUACCUGGAGCUACAGCGGUGACACGACUUGGAUCACUUAGCGCAUUUAUGGAGUUGGUAUGGAAAGAGGGAUAUUUGCUAUUAACAGAGUAAGACAGAGCUUCAACAACGAUAAAUAAGGGUAUUUGCCAUUAGCUACGUUGAACAGAGGUCUUACCACUACAAAGAAAGAUUCAGUUCCAGGCCUUAUCUUAACCUUAAUGCUUGGGCCACAAUGUGUAAGUAGCAUAUGAUAGAAUUUAGUAAACAAACACAGCUUACUCAAAACAAAGCGUUAGCACCCUCUCUGCCAAGCCAACAUUCAUUUCUCUCUCUUACCGUUUAGGAAUUGACACUCCCUUCCCAAACCUAGCUGUCCAGAGAUGCUUCACCGCUUAACCUAGACUCGCACCCGGAUACUGAUUGACCUCGACUUGAAGUUAUUAAUUUCUUUGAAUCUCCUUUUUUGUAUACCUAGGAUAGAAUGAAGUCAAGUGUCGAACAGUCUAGUCUAAGGCUUCUAAAACUAGUCCUUCUUCCGAAACUCAUCCUGCUGUCACUCGAGUCGACAACACUAGCACCUGACCCGACCUCUCAUAACCUAACUUUUGAACUGGAACUAGCCCUAGCCCUAGACUCUUAUCUAACCCACUUGCAACAGGCUCUACUCUUUCUACAAACAGGACCAGACCUAUCCUUGAAGACGAAACUCAUCUCUACGAUUCAACUCGGGAUUACUUUCGAACAGAAGAAACAGCAUGUAAGGAUCCUGCCCCCUAAUUGUUGAAGAACCAAUUGUAGUUGACUUACUUUCGAAACUUUCAGUGAACAAUUGAAUCGCAAUACACGCAACACAAGCAUCCGAACUAUACUGACUUUCGACCUGCUUCUCUGAUCUUGUAGACUUAAGCAUAGCUGAUGCGAAUUCUAUUACAACAACAGAAUAACCUAUAUCUACUGACUUAUAGCCAAGAAUCGAUUUUGGAGACUUUCUACUUGCACCACCACUUGCAACUUACACAAGAACAUGGGACUUUAUGGACUUAUCGUGCCCGUACUAUUGGAUUCCCCUUAACAAGCUGAACUUGUAAGUAAAGUAGGCUUUCCUCGCCCUUAACGGUACGAGCCCAUCUACUCAAUUACCCAUCGGCUGCUAAGCUGCCCUUGUUUCGAGUGUACCGCUUGUAGUAGUAGUUUGGUGGUACGAGAAGCAGUAAGUAAGCCUAUGAGCAAGGCAGGACAUCUUUUAGUAAGCAGUUACAACAGUAUUAAAGUCAGAAGCGGGAGACCUUUAUUUAUAGCUUGGAGAGCUAGACUGAAUAGGGCAGGGCGUAUUGGUAAAGAGUAAGGCUUGUUUUGUUGGCAUCGGUUAAGGCAUUGUUGGCAUCAGCUCAAGUCUUGGAAACACUAGUCCAAUUCGUGUUAUUGGUGUAGGAUUCCUAUUGUUGGCAGUAGAUAAGUAAGGGCAGCUGACGAUGGCCCUAGCGCAAGAAUACAAGUGAGCAAUGUUUGUUUUAGAGCUAUGAGUCGAAGGAUCCGGAUCCGCGGUGAAAGUAUUAGCCUAGGUUAGUGUAUUCUGUUUGCCAGUAGCGUUAUUCUGAUAUUUCAAGUAAACAGGGGCUUUAGUGAGUGGAUUUCUUAUUCUCGGCCUUAUUUUCUAGGUGACUUCUUAGAUGCGUACCCUUACCCUACUAGCACUUAGGGUGAUUCCAUGCUCUACUACUUAUUCUUAUACCUAUACAGCGAUACAUCAUACCUUAUCACUUCUAAGUUACAUUACGAGAAGCACCAGUGUCAUUCCCUGUUCGAAGCUACGGCCUUGCUAGCCCCGGGUCAAUUCUAUAGUUCCCCUGGUUCAAUUACAUAGUUUAGAGUUAAGCCUUGUUGGUAGGUCUAUUCUUUAUUACUAGUGGAGUUCCCGGCGUUGCUAGCUUAGUUCUUUAUUUCAUAGUUUUACCUGUGUUAUAGGGCUAUAUCCCUGUUGACAUUAGUGAAAGUAUUCGAGGUGGUAGUCACAUGCUAGCAAUCAAACACUACGGAUCCGGAUGCCUAGUCCAAUUCUAAUAAGUGGCGUUUCGAGUUAUCAUAGUAGAAGCCUAGGUCCAAGCCAAGUCCGAGAAGCAUUAGUUCCAUCUAUUGGUAUGGUAGUGGAUUCUGAUUAGCUGCAACUCGAUUCUUGUUAGCAGAGGAAUAAGAUUUGGAUAUAAGUAAUUCAGAUGUAGAUCCAGUAGCGGAAGACAAAAACUCGUAUACCAAAAGUAGAUCUCUGUGCGCGCCCCUUGUGUUACUCUAAUUCUGAAAAAUACCUUUCUAUCAUUCUCACGACUUUGGCACUUAAGUGAAGUUCAACUCCCUCUUUGGGGUCUAAGGGUAAAGGGUCAAUAGUCGAAAUAUAAGGAACAGGGUCAAGAAAGGGUCAAUAGUCGAAAUAUAAGGAACAGUACAAAGAAUCAUAAUUCUAUAGUGGGUGUGGGAGCGUUAAGCUUUGAUUAUAGGCAAGACAUUUGAACAGAACAAGCAAGGGUUUCUCUACUUAAGUAUACAGUACACCGCGCGACUCAGACUCAGCUCGCUAACGGGGAGUUCUCGUAAACCCGGAUUGAGAAUCCUAACACCUAUGGUAAAACUCACUCAUCAAAUGAGGCUUGUCUCUUCCCUUCACCAGGCAUUCCUUUAAAUUCGAGUAGACUAGGAGGCAAGACAAUCAGCGACAUUACCAACAGGAGGUGUUACCGAUCACUACAAGGAAGGGGCUUAAGAAGGAAGGGAAGGACAUAAUCUCGGUUCAGGCAAUCAGGCUUUCGAGUCGUGAAGUCCAGUUUCGGGAGCAAGACUCAGGUUCCUAAGUGCUAACCUAACGUGUUUAGAGUUAUUUGUUACCGCUCCGUAGUCUAUAUUAGGGUAUGUUACCGCUCCGUAGUCUAUAUUAGGGUAGCUCGCUUCAAGCACCCGAACUUGACUUUCUUUUGAAUCCAAGAACAAGAUCAGAAGCCUAAGAUGGAGCAGUUUCAAGAUCUUCAUCAGUUUCCAGAGAAUCCUUAGUUCGAUAUCUGGGUGUUGGCGCAGAGACAGCAGUAACAAAAGAAUCACUAGUGGCAGGAUCUUAUGAAGCAGCAAUUCCUGUUGUUGAGGUCGGGGAAGACUCUUUAGCUAAAGGGAGAGUUUCCGGAUCUUGAUAAUCAGAUGAAUCAGAUAGAGCAGCUGAGGACAAAGAAAGGACUCGUUUAUAACUCGUUUAACACAUCUUAUGUUGCUACUGAUGCCGCGGAUUUGGCCUCUUUCUCAUGCCCACUAUGUACUUAAGGGAAGAAAAUCAGAUGGUACUCAUUACUCAUAUCUGAGGGUGCUAAUGGAUGGUUUCAUUUCAUAAUAUCUUAGCUAGAGCUAGCGUGGAGCUGCUAUUAAUUGGGUCUUCAUUCUUUGCCAUUAGUUAGGUCGGUAUUCAUUCUGAAAUAGAUGAUAGAUGGCUUACUACUAAGAUUCCAAGUCGAACAGGACAAACAACCAACUGAACCUUUCUUGCAGACAACAAGGGAAGGAAAGGAAAGGAGCAGCAGCCUACUUAAGCUUUAUCACAAGCACCGCACCAGUAUCGUCAGUCACUCCGUAUUUCUUUUCUCAUUCUGUAAUUCACUACUUAUAUGCGGCAGAAGGAGUGGUUGGUAGCGAGGGUUGUCAGUUCAUAAAGUGAAGUUCUAGUUCUGGUUUGAUGUUUCUGAUAGUGAUUCAGUGGUUAUAAAGUCAGUCUUAUGUUGGUGUUCGUCAACAAGAAGGGGUGAUCCUUAAUGACAUGAUUUACUUCAAGUCAAAGAGCAGGACUAAAACUACCUACCUGGGUGCCUUUCAUCUUAUAUAGAAGCGGCAUCUCCUCUUUAAGAAUGCCCAAGUCGCGGUUAAGGGAAAGAGAAGACUCGAUUACUGACUUUUUAUUACUGUUUCUUUUCUUGAAACUGUCUCAUCCGUUGCUUUAAGAAUGGAAUCCAAAUAAAUAUGUACCUUAUGCACCUCAUACAUAUAUAUGAUAGAAUACAGUAAACAACCCGCAUCUUCUAUUCUGCUUUGCCUACGAGUAGUUUGCUAUAGGAUGGGGAACAAGCAUACAAUCUUUGAAUCUUUUAGUGCCGAGCCAAACAGGAAAGAAAACAUUGAUUUGAUCAUUAUAGGUCAACUCCCUAACUCAUCACUUUCCUUUCAAACUCCAUAUUGGAUUCCUUCCUUUCGCUGGUAAACCAUCUUUUCAGUGAAGAAUUGAGUGCUCUCUUGCACAUGGGGUAUAGUGUACGGGUAAUAUACAAGAUUCUAGUAAACACCCUCACUAACGUUUCAUUCACUCUCUUUCCUGAAUUUCUUGAGACCUUCUUUUGGACUUAACACCGAGUCUACCCCAAGUCUACGGGCAAUAAAAUAAGGAGAAAAUAGAGUCAAUUCGGUUUGGGCUAAAGGCAACUCUUAAAGCUACUGUUAUAGGCUAGUGGUCUUUAUAGCGUUAGUUAAAGGGGCUUGAACUUAAUCCUUCUCUAAGUUGAACCUCUGCACACGAGCUGUCAACCCUGAAUUCCGACUUGCGCCUGUUCCGAGAUACUUUAUUAUAUUAUUGGAGUAAUGAAAUCCAGUACCAGUAGUGAGUCAGCGGAAUCACUGUAUUCUACUAAGGAGCAGAGACAUAAGCCAUAUCCAGAGUAGGAACAAAAGAAGAAGUUGUUCGAGUUUAGGAGACAAGAUCUUAAGAAAAAGUCGGAUCAAUAUCUGAAGCAGAAGACGGAAUUAGGACUAGUUAAUUACUAUUAAUAACGUAGUACUUACUGCUAACGCCAUAGAAUAAGGACUGGGCAACAACUAACGUACAAUGUCACUAUUUGGUUGUUACGUUGCAUCUGUAGUAUCCGCCUUGUUCCUGUUCCAGUUGCAAGUAUAGUUGCUUUUGUCUAUAAGUCUUAUGUGAACCUAUGUUGAACUCAUACUAGAGCUUUGGAGGAAAGUAAGCUGUAAGCGCGGUAAGUAAAUAAUAAUACUUGAAAGGCAAAUAAUGAAUAAAAUAAUGGGGGAAAAAGUCGGUAGCAAUCGGUUCCUCAAAGGUAGUUCGAGCAUGAACAUCGGCGACGAGGAGGAAAGAGUGUCUGCAUCCUUACUAAACCAAUCGACUUGGAACCACUACUACUUAAAGGGACAUUGCAUCAUAUAAUGAAACACUCACUUAACUUGUCGACUUGGGCCAAUAACUUCCUGAAACUUGAACUACAUUUGCUAUUUGAUUUAACUACAUUUGCUACUUGCUUUCGAGCAAACUCAUGUGAAAGGGCUGGGCGCAUAAUAAUCAAAAUAGAGAUCAUCUGUGGUGCACGAGUCCGCAACAAACGGUUUUAAGGGUUGGAGUUAACGUUGACAGUGAAGUUGGUUCAUCAAUAUAAGUUUGAGUUUCAUCUGUGUUAGCACCGAUAUAAGUAUAAAGAUCUUACUAAGUUCGAGGUCCAGUUCUCAAGUCAGAAUGAAACCCGUAAGUAAAGGAAGGAGUCUCAUUGAGUUAGCAGAGAUUCCAUAGUCUCUAGAGAUUCAAUCGGGCAAGCUAAUACUAAUUGUUGGGGAUUCAACAAUCACAGUCAAUUCUGCUGCCUCAUCUCUUGCUUCUGUUUUAGAUGCUUACCCUUACUUUUGAUCUACAGUAGUUGCUUGCCCUGGCUUUCCUAAAUGAAUGAGAAGCGACUCACUAAUCCGGUUCCAUAUUGAAUAUCUGGUUUAUUGCAAGUUAGGUAUCUAAAACAGCUCAGUGGGCUUUUUCCGUAGUCGGCGACCAUCAUUUUCUCUUUAGAGUGCUACAUUCGACCGGCGUGUCAACCGGGUUGCAAUCUUCCUUCUUGAAUCAGAACCUACUUAGCAAUCUUCCUUCUUUAUGAAUCUUUUGAGAACGCAUAUCCCUCUUGCGAAAGAUGAUGCAUGGCUUCUUUCUUGACUUUGCUUCACUUCAAUACCAAUGACAUGUUGCUUCACUUCAAUACCAAGGAAAUAUUACAUGAGUCCAAUGUCGCCCACAUUAAUUGACCAUUCUUUAACCUCAUUCUUCAAACAUUAGUAGAUUGCUUCCUGUAAAGACUAUUUCAUAGAAAGGAAAGACAAGCAAACAAGUCAUCUGGUAAAGACUAUUUCAUAGAAAGGAAAGACAAGCAAACAAGUCAUCUAUCUCCAUUAUGGUUCAUCUUCCAAUAAAGAAAGAGCACUUGCUUGAAUAAGGACACUGCAACCCAUUUCGCUUGAAAUAGGCAUCAAUGAUAGCAUCGAGUUAGGGUGUUAGGCAUCAAUGAUAGAUAGCAUGGAAUACAUUAGGUUCUAGCUUUAGGCAUCAAUGAUAGCAUGGAAUACGUUAGGUUCUAGCUUGAGGUCAUAUAGAGCGGAGCUACCUUCCACUUGAUCACUUAUUCUAUUCUUCAUGCCCCUUAUUAAUGGAACCCCCCUUAUUAAUAUAACCCAAUGGCUUUAUAUACACCUCUUCCUCAAUCCAACUAUUCCAAAAUGCAGAAUAGACUUCUAUUUUCUAGAUUGACCAAUUCUUUUGUACGUCAAUAGAGAUUUGGAAGAAAAUCGUUUCUAUUCAGAUAACAGGGGCAAAUACCUCAUCAUAGUAGAUGCGCUUGUCACCCUUUGCCACCAAUCUAGCUUUGUAGCGAUCAACAGGGCCUUUGAUCUUUGGAUUUCCUUGCGGAUGUCGCUUUUUCUUACAUUUCAAUAAGAAAGACUUUUUCUUACAAUUCAAUAAGAGAACUCCUACCCCAAAUCUAGUAUGGAAUUGAGUAUAAAGGGAAUUCUACUCCGCUUCCAAAUAAAUAAUGAAUAUAAGGUACAGCACAUAAGGAGAUCGAAAUGCAAUUAAGUAUUGAGAGCAACAGCGCGAAGUGAAUGAAAUACGGAAUUCAAUUCGAACAGCAGAACUCACAGGGUAGUGAGGGAAUACUGAUUCGACCCUGUAUAAUACAGAAUGAUAAAGGUUUUGGUAGGAAUGAACUAUUUGCAUAUUAUUAAUUGGUCACCAACCUAGUACGUGCUCUCUCUAACAAGUAAGAAUGGAAAGUGCUAUCAACUCAAAAGUUCGAAUUGAAACAGCAAGGUAGGAGUGACACUAUAAAGACAAAAGCAAAAGAAAACUCUAUCUCGCCAAUCACGUGCUCUUUUCACUUUACAUGAAAUUAUGUAUGUUACCCUAUGAUUCUUCCUACUACUUACUAUAGGUCUGCUACUACUUCAUCUAAGUCUGUCUUACUUACUUAGGGUUCGCUCUUGGACUCCUUACUCCAAUUAUGUGUUACACCAUUGAGUCUUCUACUGGUUGGUUGGAGCCUACUGCCCGCGAGAACACAACUACACCAAUGGAUAGAAUAGAACCGCAGCUACUCGGACUUAUGCCCGGAACCGGGAAACCAACUACAAAUGCUAAUACUUUAACUGGGAACUAAGCCUAUACCUACCGUCUCUAAGACCGAACCUGUCGACUGAAUAAAACAGCUACUAUCCACUACUACCUACCAACUACUACCAUGGGAAUCAGACUAACUCAUUGCCUCACAAGGCUUUCACCAAUACAUCCAAGACUGGAACUACUGAUAACAAGAUCUCCACCCUUCUUUUUGUACGAAAUCGGAUCCUUAAUGAAAGAAUCAAAGAAAGGCUAGGUAGUCUUAGAAGCAGCAGCUCAAGUCCUAUCAACAGGUAGUACUGUUAGAGUUAGAGUUUCAUCCCAUCCCGGUAGUCCAGGUAAAGUUGAAGUUUCAUCCCAAACUAGUAGUUGAGUAGUUUCAUAAGUAGUUGUAGCCAUAGGUAUAGAUAGAAGACAGAGUUCAAAGAGUAAGCCCGAAGUAAGGAGUCAGCCCACUACUAGGCUAGGAAGCCCACCGAUUGCCCGUACUGAUUCCUCUAGUACCAGAUAGAGAGUUUCAAUAGAACAAGUAAUCAAUAUAAGAGGUUUCAAUGGCACACAAGUAAUCAAACAAAGCAAAGAGAGAGGCCAGGCCAGGGAGUACUGCUCCUGUACUUGUAUACGCUUGUCCAAGUGCUGUAUUCGGGCUUCUGAAGCAGUGUGGUAUCAUAUCAGUGCAAGCUUGAGUGGAAGUAGGCAAUAAAGUAAUAAAGAGAGGUCGGGUACUUGGUUGGAAAGAAAGAAAUUCCGUAUUGGGCAAGGGUGGAAGACGUUGCUUGGCCACUCCUUAGGGACAUUCUGAAAUUACUAGUUGUGAGUGUCAAUAACUUACUAUAAGGCACUCCUACUUAUUAGUUGCAUUCCGACUUUCUAGUUUCCUCAGUGCCAAUUCCAUUCUAUUCUGAGUUUCUUGUUUGGAUCUUAAGCCUUAUCCAGUAGUGGUCUGGUUACUAGUGUCUUGGCAGGUAGGGUAUGCUGGUUGAAUGAAGUUACUAGGCAACUCUGUAGUAGUGGAUUGGCCCCCGCUGCUAGUAUACGCUUGGUAGUUGACAGAGCAGAGGCUGGUUCGGUGCUUUACCAGAGGAGAGGGAUAGGUCUGACUUUAGGGUUUCUUUCUUAUAGUUAGUAGUGCUUUUGAGCUCCCCUGCCGCUGUAGUAGUGACUUUUGGUGCUUCUUAAAAUGGAGUGUCUUUGAGUGUCUUGGCCGGUCACGACUAACUGGCUUCAAAGCGACUCCGUUAGUGCUUCCUUGCCUUUUGAAUCUGUAGAAUAGUUGACAGUUUACAGAGGCCUCUAUAGUUAGUUUCUGGGAAGAGUCAAUUCCAUGCUUUGAUGCGCGUUGCUCAUGGGUUGGGUUUGCUCUGACUCUUGGGGUGCUCGUUGAAACAUAAGUAUCGGGGUGCUAGCUAGCUUCAUAAGAGUCUCCUUUCCUUCUGGCACCGGUGACCUACUUCCUUAUAAUAGAAGCUUCUAAUAUAAGAGAAACCCAGAACAAGCAAUUCUCGACUUCCCGCCUCAAAGCCUGUACUUUAUGAUUGAUUAGAAGCCGGUCCAACUCGUAAACUGACUAGUGAUGUGAUAGCACAUUCAUCGAGAAGAUAUAAGAAGGCCCUAUACUAUACUACAUUGCUAGCGCAUUUACAACUAAGAUACAGCAUUGAUAUAAGGAGUUAAAGAACGAAGCUAUUGAGUUAACCUGUGCCCAGUGGUACAGCCAACACCGAGUAGUACUGACUUACCUAUAAGUACGGAAGUCUAGUAACUCAUUAGUAUAGGAGUCAAGGUUCGAUGCUUGUGGUAAGGUUAAGCAAUGAAAGGGGAAAGUUUGGUUCCAGUCCCAGCUCCAGCUUAUGUAGAAAAGCAAGUACUUGACCUCGCAUCAAAGCAAUGAACUUUGUUCAACAAGUAUAGAGUAAGUAGCAAGUCCAGUAUUCGAGAGUCGGGGAGAGCCAAGGAACUACUAGUGUAAAGCAAGUAGUUGAGUAGUUUCAUCAGUAGUUGUAGGAAGACCGGUCCCUUAUUCUGAGUUUCUUAUUAGUGACAAUAGUUACAUCAGAGUUUCAGACCGGUAGGCCUUGGUCAGUAGUUGUUAGUUGACAGAGCCUAGCCAGUAGUUUAUGAGUGGAAUCAAAUUACUAUAAGUCCUGUGAGAGUUAAGUGAUAGUCUUCAUACCUAGUUGGAAGCUUAAUAGUAAGGCUCAAUGAAUAUGGUUACCACAAUGCCGCUACUCCUACUAAGAAUGAAACCAGGUAGCUCUAAGUAGAAGGGGGCUAAGCCUUAAACCAAAUACCACUGAGAUUCCCUGCAGCUAGCAGAGGUCUUAAAGCCAGGAAGCCAGCUAGGCAGUAGAAGACAUAUAUUGUAAUAAUGGGAACUCUAGCGGCAGAGGAUUUAGUAGGAAAGUUCUCAUCUGUAACCUUAGUUGACUCCGGAGAGGCUUUGAAGCAGAGCCAGAGAGGGCUAGGUUAAAGUCAGAAUGAAACAAGUAAAUCAAAGAAUAGACCCAAGUAAUAUAAGAAUGCAACGAGGUAGCCAAACUCAGUAGCCAGAUCAGAGGAGAGGUCCGGCAAAUCUGAUAGAGUUAGUUCGGGUCGGAGAAUUCAUACCGAUCAUAAGAUGCUGUGGAAGUAUCUGAAGCUGGAGAAUUGCCUGUUACUCGGGUAGGUACGAACCAACUAACAAUUACCCUCGCAUCAAACAAAGCCGAUACUUCUCUCUCCUCUUGAAACAAAUACUUCCUCGCCUCUCCCUGUGCUCUUAACCCACCCAGUCACUCACGUUUUCCCGUCAAACAGCCCUGCCGCACAACUGACGUAGUUGUUUGCCUGAUAGCAAAUAGAGAAAUAGUAGAAGACUGAACUUAGGAUGAAACUAGGCAUUCCACUUAAACAAUCACCAGAACUGUAACAGGAAAUGUAGACGCACUAACUGACUUAUAUAAGAGAACAGAUGAAACUCUCACAUUAGGGAGAACAGAUGAAACUCUCACUCGCCAAGCAACUAAGGAAGGUAAUCAAACAAAAGAAUCAACCCAGCUUCAAAGCCUUCUACUUACUAGUUUCUUCCCCGCAUCUGAUCUAUAUGCUUCUCUUUCUUACCAAGCCGACCUCUGCUCUGAUAUGGAAUUGUCCCCUUUGUCCACCUCUACUCUGCCUCUGCUCCUAUAACUUCAUUAAGAUUGCCAGGUCAUAUCCUCCUAUAUAAGAACAGAUAGAAUUGAUAUAGCUUUUCUUAUACUAUUUUCUACUAUGUUGGUACAUUAGAAAUAUGAGUAGAAGACAUAUAUUGUAAUAACUUCGUUAUGACUGUCACUUGCUGCCGCGUAACAUUAGUAGUUACUUGGCCGGUGAGACAAGCUAUUCUUACGGUGUUAAGUCAACUCACAACUCCUCUGAUCUUGCUCAUCUAUUAUAUAUAACUGAAUGAGGCUAAUCUCAUAACUGAAUGAGGCUAAUCUCACUACUUGCUACCCGGGCUAUGGCAACUAUGGAAAUUAUGACUUUUCACAGGCUCCUGCCGCCAUGAAUACAGGACUUGCUAAUAGCUCCAUUAAUAUCUAUAAAUUGAGUUCUUUGCUUUCGUUGCCUUUGUAGAAGUUGCUUGGCCCCCUUUCUGACCCGAUUGGAGCUGUCCGCUAUCAUACCUAUGACAAUUGGCUCCCGUUAGCUCACUUAUGAACUUGAACUGGGAAUUCUACCGUUAUAAGUAAGGGCAACAGGAACUGGCACCACCACUGGAAAGGGCAAGAAAUAGACUUUCAUAGCUGACCUCGCCUACCUCCUUAACAGCACUACCCAACUUACAAUAAGGGACUUACUAUAAGGUAAGGGCUAACUCUCACUCUUGACUUUCUCACUUACACUAGCCCUGGACUCUAAUCUAGCUCUGGCAACAAAAGUACUAAUUGAGCUUAUUGCUCCUCUCUGGCAACAAGACUAUAUUCCAGGCACAGCUGAUUCUAUUACUUCGGAUUCUAUUACUGCUGACUUCAUUCUGACUUGCUGACAGUAAGACCUCUCUUGCUCUUCUAACACUCCUCUGGCUCAUCUAACUUGUUACUACUGGAAAGCUAUCCCUAGUAGUUAUCAGAGUUGGCCAGGUGCCCUUAAUUAAUGCUCUAAAGAUAUGGGCUCAUAAUGCUGUAUUUCGAAUAGCCAAGACACGACUAAGUCCGAUACCAGUGCCGGGCAGACUUAUGUUAGUGCUGCUAAGGCUUGACUACUGUCCGCUGUGUCGAGGCAGGGCCGCUCUGUGUUCGGUGUUUUUAUUGUUUGUUAUAACCGAGUCCUUUGUUCGCCUUGGAAACUACUCCACUACCCUAGGACUCAAUAUCUUUCAACGCUGUAAGGCCACUCAUCUCCAACAACUGGAUCGGAUACAGAUGAACUUCCCGCUUCAGUUCAGAGUCUGGAUAGCCUUUAUGUGAUUAAUGUAGUUGACAUACCCAGACUGCCGCUACACUGACUACGUUACUUGGCGGUCAUUAGUAGUUGUUUGUCUAGUAGUUCCUUGGCUCUCCGAGUUACUUGGCCCUGGAUUACUUAACUAAAGUAAAGCUACCUCGCAUAUUCUAGUUUGAUCCUUGAAAGGAGAAAUCGGUAAGGUGGGUUUUCAGAAUUCAAGUAAGUAGUCCACAUUCCUAUUAGCAGUAGUUCUAUUUAGUAGGCCUCGUUAAGGGCAUAGGUCUUGUUAUAACAAGUUAUAUUCUUUGCCUUACUUGAUCAAUUCGAACUUCCUAUUAUACGAUGUGCUAUUACAUCAUCAUAUUAUUAUUCUCCCUAUCAUGAGGUUGGUUCCUUAACUAACAAGUAAGAACCAGUGCCGACAGUGAUGGAAUUAAAGACAAGGCAAUACAAACUUAAUCCGAGCAGAGGCAGACUCACUAGUGGGGGGUCUCAAGAAAACCAGUAUGGAUCUUAAGAACCAGAUAAAGCAGUGUCAGACUCAUGUGCAGUGACUAGUGGUAGAAAUCAGAAUCCGAAUAAUAAUACAGGAGAUACGGAAUGGAAGCAAGAAAGUCAGUAGCCUAAGCCUUACAUAAAGUCAAUUCCAUUGGUAUUGGUUCUAUUCUUUCCAGUAUAGUAUUAGGUCUUGUCAGCUUGUCAGCCUUCUUGUUAGUAGUUCUAUCAGUAUUCAAGCAAACAGUGUAAGGCCCAUAGGCAUUAGUGAGCUAUGUAGCGAAAGUAUUCAAAGCUGCUGUUCGAGUCGUUAGUGCAGUUGUUCUUGUUUAAGUCGUUAGUGCAGUGUUUGAUUAUGACAUUAGUAUUAGUCUACUUAGCACGGCUCUACUCUUAUAGCUCGUACCCGGAGCAAGGAAUGGUAGUUCGAAAGCAAGAAUGGAGCUACUACUUCUAAGAAUGAAAGGGUUGUGCAAGCUAGUAAAGGUUCGGUAACUACAUAUCACCUAAGAAAGUCAGGCAGGAGUCUCAGUUUGAAGAUGGGGAAAGGCAGUCUUGUUUACAUUGGUUUGAUUCUGCUCUUGGUAGGUGAUCCCAAUAGUGUUUUAUUACUCUCCCCUUUGGAUUAUUCUGAUAUUUGUUUUAGUUGGGCUCUUCUUCUUACUUUCCACUCGAAAGUCAGGAUACCUUUCUAAGGAAACCAAUAUGAAUAUAGCCCUAUGAGACUAAUAGUGAGAAGUAUUAGACCUAAGCACAUAAGUCACAGGCCUAACCACAUAAGCUAGUCUACCUCUCUUUGCGCCAACUCUAACUACCUCGACUUGAACCUAAAACGGACUGUUUCUCAUUUCCCAACUGCUUGCUAUCAAACGGAAACUCAUGCCCUUCACUCUGAGACUCAGUACUGUAAUUCUUGAUUAACCCAUUAGCUUAGCCUUACUUGUGGAAUAUUCCACCCUAAGGAACUAGUGUACCUUCUUGGCUUUCUACUUACUUAUUGAAUUCUUUGACUUACCGUAUUCUUAGUACGGAUCUCCUUACUUGCAUUCCAUAUCCCACUAAUAUACUACUUGGUAGAAUUCCGAUUGUUCGAAUGAAUUAUCAUUAUAGUGGCAAUUGGCUUUGUAAGGGCAUCCUAACUCCACUGACUUACAACAACUUUUAACUGGGAGGAAACCCGUACCCCUAUUAGAAUAGAAUUGGUGUUGACCAGAAUUGAGCUAGCACUAACAGGAAUUUCACUAUGACUUAAGAGAAUGGAACGGAUUAAUGUAAGAAUUAACUGACGGGUAAUCAAUCUUACUGAUCUACUCCACAUGCCAAGCCCUACUCAUACCUUGCACUAUGCCUUUCCCGAUCUCAUAUCUGUAGUUAACCCAUACCUCCCCUUGCUCGCAUUACGUAUUUGACUUAUUUGGGCUUGCUUUCCUGACAAUACUCACUACUUACUUGCAAACAACCAUUCCCGCCAAUGAGCCUGUGACCUUCCUUCAUCUAAGUCUAACUAUCUCCCUUGCUUUUCAUUUGAGACCUAGGCGCUUUUCAUGUUCUAUCUUAUUAGAAUCAAGAAAGAAACCGGUACUUCUCAUAAUGGAACUAGUGUAGUGGCAAACAGGCUGAACUUAACUACUCCACUAGAAUAGAGCCAUUGACAACCAGGCUAUAACUCAUAGCUAGGAAAUCCGAUAGUAACCCCAACUAGGAGAAAACCAGUGUCUAUUACAUGAGAAUGCAAUUACAAACAAGAGGAAUCUCACUUAUAAGUAAGAGCCAAGCAAAGCCUCAAAGCAACUACCCUGUCACUACUGACUUGAAAUGCUUAGCUUCAGUCCGAAACUCCUGUAUCUUAUUCUUCUAUUUUGACCUACGCUAGUUUAGAGUUAGAGUAGCGCUCGUUAGCUUCGUUCUGAGACUCCCGCCCGGCAUUCCCUCACCAUCCUAUGGUAUUCAGUUCAUCUAUAUAAGAUUCAUUUGUAUUUUAGAGUAUUUUAUUAGAGCAAGAAACUAGACGCCAAGGAACUAGAAUUGCUGAGUAAGUAUCUGUAUAGUUACAGUCUUAUCUGGAAAUUGGUAGUAGUGGAGAGCAGAGAAAGUAGUGUGGAACAGGGAAAGAGGUUUCUCAUCUAUCCUAGCGAAGUAAUAGAACAAAACACGGAAUAGGGUCAAAGGGGCUUUCAUAAGCGAGUUCUGGGGAAAGCCAACACUAAACCAUAGGGCAGGCUACAUCAUUGGAGACUGCUGAGCGGAGGACAUGUCUUUUAUUUCCUAUCAUGACCACCUGCCUCCAUUCACUGCUCCACAGGAAUCCGUUAACUCGGCUUGCUUCACUAUAAGGAUCGUUUUUACCCCGCGUAUGAUAGAUUGGGCUUUCAUACAAUAAAGGAUAAGAAAGAAUAAAGACUUCUAUAAUGAGGUUUCUGAAUAAAUAGAGUAUAUAGUGUCAAGUGCAAAUAGAGUAUAUAGUGUUCCGUUCGGGUUCUUAUAUGGGUAGGUAGUCCUUACUUAACUCGACCUUCAAACGCCCCAUCAGUCCCAUGCCUUUCUUUUUGAGUUGGAUCAAGGCGAUUUCUUUUGAUUGUUGAACUCCACUUUCUGAAUCAACAACACUUGCACCACCCCUUUUGCAGCUUACCUCUGACUCGAGGAACCAACAAUACAAGCACUAGGCUAGGAUUACACAAUCAGAACUAGGGGAACCAAAAUACAAUAAGGCAAUUCUAAUCAUUAGAAGCAACCGAAACCACACUUGCAGAAGCAGACGUUGCACUUGCGGAUUCUUUCUAUGAUUUCACUCGUACCCGAUACUGAAGCGGAAGAAGGUAGGGCAAUUCUAUAAGUAAGGUAAUCAGGCUUCUUUCUAGUACUAAUCGGUGAAAGCCGCCCCCCUAUCCUUCUUUGACGACUUGCCCUUGUAGUGGUCCAGUCCAAGCACCAAUACUAUACUUCACUCACAUAACUCAAUACGGCUUACUGCCUCCUCACUACUUAAAUAAAGUGUUGAAACAAGCAAUGUGACGCUCUAGUAUAGAUCCACUCCGAGGUAAUAUCACUACUCCACUCCAACAAUUGGCAAACGAGAAUAUAUUGUUUGAAAGUAAUCUGUGUUUGUUGACGACACCAGAGCAUAGAUCCAAAUAGUAUAAAGCAGAAUCUUAUGAAGCAGCAAGCGGGUCAGAAGUGUAGUUACGGACGGGGAUAGUUUGAAGUCAGACUGGAAAUAGAAGAAAUACUAACCUAACUCAGGUGCCUGCUGUAUUGAAUGAAACUCCUAACUCAGGUCUGAAACUCUGUUACUACGGACUCCUUUACUAGUAGUAGCUUGGCCGUUGCUUGGUCUUACGUAGUUACGCGGCGGUCAUUAGUAGUGUAUUGUCUGCUUGGCCCUGGGGUGUUUCCCUUAAAGAAGGUGCUGCAGAGAUCUUUGCUAGAGCUAGGAGAGGACAGGACCGCUUAGGUGAACUUCACUGAUCUUGAUAUACGAAUAUACGAAAUGGAUUCUGUCCACUUCGAUUCUGGUUGUUAUAAGAAACCCUUCUGUCUUUUCCUUUGCUUACAUCCCCUGUUAGAGAACUGGUUUUAUGCAAUGAAAUGUAGAGUCGAGAUACCACUGGCACAGGUUUCGGUGCUGGCACCGGAUAAAGCAGCAGAAAUAGGGCGGGCUUACGAGGCUACUUUUGAGGUAUGAGGGGCACUCCCUAUCGCUCUGAUGAACCUACGGGUUAGAGUGUUUCAGGGGGUAACUUCACUCCUGUAUUCAUAGUUCACGGCCACAGCUUGCCCAAACCGAACUUCUUUUUAUGCUGUCGGUAGCUCCGGUUUGAUGUCCAUGUUAUGAAAUGGCCGCUUAUUCUAUAACGAGCCCUUGUAAGGUAGGAUUGGAAUAUAGAGAAUAGGAUCUUGUAUAGCUACUGAUACACGUACUUGAGAUAGAGAUAGCCACGGUAAGCAUACACUCUCUCUAGAUACUCAAGCCACGGUAAGCAUACACUCUUCUCUAGAUACUCCUGAGUUCUCUUGUUGUUUUUGAAUGGAUUACUAGAGAUCUACUAUGAUAUCGAGAAUGCUAUCUUAUUUCGUGUUAUAGCUAGUAUGCUAUGGAAGGUGUAUGGAGAAGGUGCGGAACUACUAGGUGUAUGGAGAAGGUGCUGAACUACAAUGAUAGUAAACACAAUGCUCGCACUCAUUCAUUUCAAUUUCAUCUAUUCCUUUCCCCUUAAGUAAUUGGAACCAGCGCUCCGGUAAGAUGUUAUUUAUACAAAAAUAUGCAUUUAAAGCAGGGGGUUCUGGGCCUACGUGAAAGUAGGAUUUCUGGGCCCUCAAACAGUCCUGUCCUUUCGAAUUGAAUGUAAGUGCCCCUUAUGAUAGAAAGAAGUAACAAGGCAGCUCCGGACUUACCCGAAACUAGACUUCCACUCAUUUUGCAUAAACUCAGGAAUUGCACUUACAAUUUGGUGUCGAUUCAUCGAGUGCAUUUGAGAAUUGAUUGAACAACUCACUAGCAACCCUAUCUUGUGCGGAAGCAUAACCAGAUCUGAUCUGAUUGCCAGAACUUCAUCAUUAAUGGAAUCUAUCGAGUCGAGCGCAGAGGAUCCUCUUUGCAGGAGAAGAUUGAACUUACACCUGAGUAAACAAAGAAUUAGAAGAAGCAAUUGAAACCCUAGCGCGAAAGUCUUUGAACUUACCUUAGCCGAUGAAGACAGUUGAAAUCCAUUGGUGAGUUAGGAUAACAAGCAACCACGCAAAGAGAAAGGGCUGGGCGCUAAAGAAGGUCGGUAAAGGGGCAAUCAAUCAGGGAAUUCUCGUUGUUUCACCUAUGUCUUACUGCGCGAAUAGAGAAAAUAGCCUAUCUGGGCACACCUGUAACUGCUAUGGAAAUGCAUAUUCUAUUAAAUCAAUAACCAUAGAUCAGUUCCCAAUACUGACAUUGAAAGCAUCUUUCCUGUGGUGCGCCACAUUGAUGGUCAAAGUGUUCUUAUAUAAGUAAGUACUUUGUUUGAGCGAGCAGCUUCGUAUAUAAGAGAUGAACCUAACUGCUUCUUUAAUGGAACUUCCAAAGAAAAUCAUGGAAUAGAAUUGAGAGCAGAUAGUGCACCCAUCUAUCCAUUAUAGAUAGAAGAAAGUCAAACCGCACUCGAAACUCAUAAUGGAAUUGCCAAUUUCCCUGAAGCCCCUCUUGCUCUCCCGCUCUUAGUAGUAGCCGUAAGAAGAAAGAGAAUCCCCAGUGCCCAAGUCCUGUGUUCGUCUACCUGUUUUCGUUCCUUUCCCCUUAUCGCUGCGAAGUAAGAGAAGAGUGAAAGCAAGACGUUACUUCUCCGCUCUGAAGAAUUCGACUAAUCUAGAAAUACGGCCAUAUCAUCUGCACUUUUCAAAGUGAGUGAUAAACCGUGAGGAGUGGACGAAGAACAACUAUUCUCUUUCCGCUGAAAAAGCACUUUUGUCUUUCCUAAGAAAAGGGAUUCUCGGACAGUAGACCUUGCGCCCUUGACCUCAAAGCGUCCAGAGCCUGCUUGUAGAGAAAAGCGGUGGACAUGCAACUCCGGGAAGAAAUGGAUACUUUGAUUGCAGACGAGAUUUGACCUACCUUUCCAUCGAUCAAAUUAUAUGCACGAGCACCUCUGCCUAGCGUAUGUAUAAAGAGAAGAUGAAAAAACGAGAAUCACAGAAGUCAAAAGAGCUGGAAGAGGCCUAAUUGCCAUCAAGCGGAAGCGGUGCAGAAAGAAAUGGGGGAAUAGCUUUUCUCAGAGUUUCGAAAUAUAGAAUAGGGGGGAAUAGCUUUUCUCAGAGUUUCGAAAUAUGGUUGCUUUAAGAUCUUAUGUAUUAUGUUAACCAGAAGACAUUCAUACUGGGUUACCUAUAUUCUAUAGUUCGCACUAUGAGUUAUAGGUUUGAAAAAAGGAAAUGAGCUCCACUCAAAGGAAAUGAGCUCGUAGGGGACCUGAGCAUCAAAGCGUUAAGGCUUGAUUUAUCCCCACAUUCAAGUGAGUCAAUGGAUAUCAUAACAUUGAAGCGGCUUAAGGCCAUCGAUUCGAUUUUGGAUUCAGCAACCCAUAGGUAGAAGGCAGACUCGUAAGGUUGUCUUUGACCUGUAUAGUAUGCUCCCAGAGUCACUGCCCUAGGAAAGAAAGAUGCUAAGGCUAUUAUAUCUAUCUAUCUAUCCAUCCAUCUAUUUGUACAGAUUCCCCGUAUUUAACGAAGAAAGAAAGACCUUUUUAUUGCCCCAGCAGAUCCCCUUUGUCUUGGUCCAACCAAGAAAGCAUUGAAGAUAGAAAGCGUACGUGAUUCCGACUCCACUCCAGACUAAAUACUCUAACUUAUAUUAAUGGAAUAUUACUGAAUAGAAGUAGAAUAGUUGAGUCAAGAGGAAGAAGAAAGAGUCCAAAUCGAUCUUUAGAGUCAAAAAAGAUCUCUGUACUUUGAGAAUACUAUAUUACACAAUAGAAUCAUAGACUAUCAUCCCAUAAGAAAUUAAUAUAUGAUGAUAUGGCAUUCACUACAAUCUACUAUAUGUACUUCUUUCAUGUUCUUCCGAAUGAAUGGAUAGAGAGAAAUGGGAAUAAGCACUUAUAUUAUAAGAGUCGGUCACACAAUGUGCAAAAAUGGGUUGGUUUUGCCUCUGUGAUUUCUUGAAGGAGAAGGUGCUUCGAAAACUAAUGAACAGCAUUCGUAUUGGCGGGCGAAUCUAAAUGGUAACAAUAAGGAGUAGGUCGAACGGUAAGGCUGGCUAUAAGGCUCUAAAUGAAUGGUAACAAUAAGGAGUAGGUCGAACGGUAAAAGGCUAUAAGGCUCUAUAUAGAGAAGAAGGAGUCGCUUAGCUAGCACUGCCUCGAUACCUUCCUUCGGCUUUCUCUUGAUAUUCGAAUCCGAUAACUAUCAAAAGCAAUGGCCAAAGACUAGCUUAAGUACAGAACUCAACUUGCUAUAAUCGAAUUCUGUUCAAAUAAGUAAUCGAAGGCAGGCCAUUCAAAAGGGUAUCGACGGUAGAGAGAGCGAGACCACUUUCAUUAUCGCAAAAUCCCCCAUAGUCAACAAACCACUUUCUCCUUAAUAUUGGAUAGCUCAGAUAAUCCAACUUCCGGGUUAGUAGAAUUGGAUAUCUACCCGAGACGAGGGUUAGGCUUAAUAGAGUGGCUCGACCCUAUGGGAGAGGAAGGCAGCCUCUAGACUUUACCCGCUAAAGAGACCAAAAGUGCUAUGCCAGAUGUUUUAACAAGAAUAGCUCACUAGUUCCUUAUACUUGAAUGGAGAUUGGCACUUCUUUUGCUCGUCAUCCUCCUCUGCACUUGGUGAAGAAGAUGUUACUGCUUAGAGUUGAAGUCUAUUAUUCUAUUUUCCAUGGAAUCAUAGGAUCCCGGUGUCAAUUUGGAUCAUCCAUCUAUACCAAAGAAGCUACCCUUAAUAUACCAUAAAAGGGAGCGAGUGACUAGAUAGUUUCAGUUCAACGAAGAACGAAGAAUACAGUAUAUAGACGAUUUCCUACAUUCCAUUAGAAAGGCUAUAGGUGUCCAAAUCCCUCUCACUUUAAGAAACUAUGAGGGCUGGAAGGAUUGCUGUUAGCUCUAGAGCAUCCAAGAUUACUUAUUCAGAAACAACUAAAGGAAAGGUCAAAGCAUAAAGAGAAAGCGCACACCACAUGGAUUCCUACGAUACGAAAGAUAGAGGGUGAGUAGCUGGAAGGUAUUGUGCCCCGUUCAAGGAAAAGAAAAUGCCAUUGAUGAAAAAGCUAUCCACUGGAGAAGAUAUCUCUGCAGAGGAUUGAUGCCGAGACUAGAUUAUCUACUCGGGAAGGGCAAGACCUGAAUCGGAAAGGCUAAACCUUACUCAUAGGAUAAAUGGUGCGCGCUAAAGCUAGAGCUGCUCUUUUUCCCGAUAUAGGUGUCAUUUCAUUAAUUCAGUACUGAGGAUAUGGUCUUCCCCCGUCAAACAAACUCAUCCAAAAUCCAACUCGUGGAGCGAUAAUAAACAUCCUGACUAGAGCUAGGUUAGUUCGCUUGGGGCUUAUGGCGCUUCCUCUGCGUCCCGCUUGGCAGCUUUCCUAAAGAAGAGGAAUGCCUAUCGCUGAUGAAGCUAAAGGGAACUCCUCAUUAAUCCACCUUCGGGUUAGAGAAUGAAAAGGCUAUUAGAGAAUGAGAAAGGCUAAUAAGAGAAAAGGAAUGAACUCUAUCACGAAAAUGUGUUGCUUACGGCACGAGCUUCCGAGCCAGCUGCUGACAGAGCUCUCACUCGGACAGGAAGAGAGAUACAUCCAUCAAUCGACAGGGAUUCACUCUAAGAUAGCUCCCCCUUCCAUGAUGUGUAGUUCAGCACGGAAAGGACUGGUUCUGGGUGAUGGUUACUUCUUGUUUCGUACACUAAGCUUUGGGCUUUGACUUUUCUAAAAGAGAGCUUUCUUUUAUUGUAUAGAUUUCCUCCACCAUUGCUUUAUAGAAAUCCUCUUCAAAGGCUUUCAGCACCUUCUUUCUUUUUGGUUUGUGGGUGGUAACAAUAGGUCUGAUUCUCAAUUGAUCGCAUAUACUACCUUUUCUAAAACUAAGUGACCCUUAGAUAAAGAAUUGGAUUUCGAGAACAGAGUUCCGCAAUGGUCUUAUCUACAGCAGAGAAAAGACAACUAUAGGGGAGGCUCUCGAGAGAACCGCUACGAUUUUGUCUCACUAACAGCGAAAAUCCUUUGCUUGCUUUGGGAAGACUAGCAAUCAAUUUGUCCUUCUUUCUGGGUCUGGAAUCUUGUAGAUUCUAGCAAAGAAGGUAUUCUUAUAUAAAGGGAAAUCUUAUACUCGCCGGAUCCUCAGAUUGGUAAGAAUCUAAGUGUGUUUACUGAUUGUAUCAUCUGAGAGACCACCGAAGCGAAGGCGAAUAGUGGCAAGAAGGCUUUAUACCGGAUGAAGCUUUACUCGGGUAGGGACUGCAAAGUCUGCUACUUUUGAAACCGCCAAGCAACUAAGGAAGGUAGAAAACAAAAGAAGAAACCCGUAUACUAGCAACCCCGCUUAAAAGCCUUAUCUCUAUUCUUACCGUUGUGGAAUCCCACUCAUUUCAUAUCCCUUAUCUCUAUUCUUACCGUUGUGGAAUCCCACUCAUUUCAUAUCCCUUAUCACUGUUCUAUUACAUUUGAGCCUCCUAAAACAGGACUCGCUCCUAAAGGACUCGCUCCUAAAGUAAAGGACUCGCUUCUAAUACUUAUUUUUCUGUUGGUCGACUUGAAUUCCUCGCACUGUUGAUUCUAGAUACUAAGGAGACUGCUUAUAUCACUAAGGAAUACGGUAACCAAGGAGUCGUAGAUAAGAGGUAAAGCCGGGUGCUCAUGCUCAAACUCAAGAUGUAGGAUAGGUUCGGUUGCGAAAGACAGGUUUACAACCUAAAGUAAGUAGCCAGUGUUCUUUCAAGUGGAGAGUAAGGAGCAGGUUAGUAAGCAUAAGCAGGAGCAGUUUCAUAAGCAGCAUCUGAGGCAGUUAGGUCACUUUCUUCUAUACCAGGAGUUCAAAGUCGUGUAGUUAUUGUUGUAGUCGACUCGAGAGGUUCAACUUCAUAUUGGGGCUUUCAAAGCCAUAAGUGAAUCAGGUGCUGCAGCUUGUCCCGCUGUAGCUCAAAGUAACCUAAAAGUAGUCGAUUUCCGAUGGAAGUGAAGUUCGAGAGGCCCGCCCUAUUAAUGAUAUUCAACUUAAUGAUAGAAAGCACUCUCUUUUCUCCUGCAAAUAGAAGAUAUGCUCCCUAGUAUAUUAGGAGUUUAGUCUUACAUAGAAACAAAACAGGUAAUAUGGAAACGAAACAGGUAAUAUGACUAAUAUAUAUGCUAAUUGAGCGCUAACGUAGUUUAGAGUUAACAGUUCAAUUGAAAAGGAAAGAAAAGGGAAUAGAGUCUCUCGCUCGUAUGGAUCUCGGUCAUAUUCCUACCUUAGAUACUAGCCGCUCAAAGUAAUGACCUGAAUAGCCUGUGAGAGUUGAGUGUUGUAGUGGAGAAUAGCCUGGCGUUCAAGCUAGGAUCUGAAUCCAAAGCAGAAGAUAGAUCAUCGGCAGGAUAAUAAGCCGUGAGAGCACCUACUUUGGUUGCAAGAGCAAGAUAUGAAGCAAUCGAUUCAACUAGUUUAGUUCUUGGGGAAGAAUCAUAAGGCUUUGAUGCGCUAAGUGGUCCAUCCAAUCCAAGCAUCAAAAGCGGGUCUGAAAGGGUUGUUGGCGAAAGUGCAAUUCAAUUAGAAGCAGGGCAGUAAGCUAAGCAGUUUAUAAGCAAGGGCUAAAGUGUCACAGAGUGGUUAAGGCAAUUCAUUCUGUGGGUCCCUCUCGCUCCUUGUCGGUUCAUAAAUAUAAGUUGGAGUUUUCUCCUGAUUAAGAAGCCUCAUAUACUCUCAGUUCUCAUGCCCACGUAGCGGUUAAGUAUAUCUGAGAACUGUAGCGGAAGAAUCAUCAGCCGGAGCCGGGUAUUUACUUAGAUCUAUGCCAGGUGCUAAAGAGAUUUCAUUCCAUUCUUAACUGGAAGUAGAUAUCGGAAAAAGCGAAACAGAUGGUACGGCGCCCUACUAGCCCUAUAAGUCAAUCAGUAUCCAGGUACGAGUUAAGUUAACCAGAUAAUGAAUCAGCAGUUUCACAGUAUAAUAAACCUCAGAUGGAUAACGAUCUUAAGCAGAAGAUGGAAAGUAUCUUGGUGUUGGAUAAAGUCAGAGUUCAGAUGAAUAAGAAAGGGAAGCAGUAUAGAACUAACUUGGUAAUUAGAUCAGAUGCUGGAGAAGUGUAAAAGUCCGAAUUCAACUCCAAGGUCAAAGUGACAGAAGAAUGAGCUCUGGUUUCAUAGAUAUAUAGUAGCAGCAAAGGGUGUUAGAUAGAAAAUCAAGUAAUCAACUGGGUACGCGCGAGGUGGUUACUUCAAGUGGAUUGAGUUCUUUGCUUUCCCUUUGUUAGUGGUUCUGUAAUAGGCGCUUUACCUUUCUUGUCUACCAGAUCAGAAGCCACAGAAGAAUCCGAUAAAUAAGAUGGAGGUGGGGGUUCCGUUCACUACGCAGCAAUUGGACUCCUUUCCUUGGCUAUGGAAUCAGCUCUUAGAGUAGAAGAUUUCUUCCUAUCUCCGGCUGACGAAAACACCUGACCCCAGCAGAAGCCUACACGCGCUAGCCUAAACGUAAGGGCGGGGCCUUCCCCUUUGAAGCAGCUUGCCUUGAAGCUUGCAGUUACUUCACUCGCCUGUGGUGUAGAGGCUAGGAUUUCCUUUCGUCAGGUCUCGUAAGCUGAAUCAGAAGGAAAUAACGGCAUUGAUGCCAAAGAGAUAAGUCUAUGCUACUCGGGUUCAAGCCUUGUACAGCAGCUAGAGCUGUAGGAAAAAGAUAUCUCGAAAUGAGGUCUCAGGUCGGAUCUCCGGGGGCACGUAAAGGCUUCCAGUUUCAUCCCGCCAAAGCUACUACGUCCUUUGUUUAGGCGUUAGUCCGGACUCCGUUGGUGGUUUUACUGGUUUACUCGGAACAGUAGCAUCAGCUGUGCAAGAAUCCGUUAGACAAGUCAGCUACGGGAUCAAAAGUAGAUUCCAAGUAAGGAAAGGGAGUUGUUGACUCAACUAGUCACUAGUAUCAAACCCUCUUUUAAUGCUAUUUCAAGCUCGGUAAUUCAAUACGGAAAUUGUAGUAGAUCCGUAGUGCCCACUCUGAGUCUUAGUGGAAUUUCAAGCUCACUUCCUAGCAAUUACUCAUUGAAACUCAUCAACUUGCCAACGAAUGCAUUUGAUGCCUAUAGUAACGUCUUCUUUUGUCCAACUCUCUUUCCUAAGGCACAAGUCCAAGCAGGAAUUUCCACUCCUUACCUACCGCGCACUUAGUCUUGAUCCGAGUCAAUUCAUUCACUCGAAGAACCGCUUGUAGCUGACUUAGCGCUUCCAGCUGACGACUAAACUGCUUAUGAUUGUUAUACUGCUGAUUAUUGAGUAGACUUCCACUUUUGCCAAUAACCUCUCUUGCAGACAACAAGGCAAGGAGUUACAGCGGUACAAUCACUUCCUUCUAUGUAAACUGACACUAUACUUGAGACUACUGAUUCUCUCUAUGUCAACUAAGGUAGGGGUCAAAAGCCAAUCACUGCACCAACACAAGCAUCCAAAGAGUCCUUGACAACAUUCAAAAACUCCAGCUAGAGGAGACCAUGCUUACUUGCUACGAUGAAGAAAGGAAUUGUAAUAACUCCUUAUAAUGCAUUUCUUUAUGUAGUUGUAGUUAGUUGUCCGAGUCUUUCCCUUUGGCCGACCUAACUACUUCAGAUCUUUAUCAAGCUGUCAACUCGGAUUUGAUACUCUGUCUUCAAAGCUUCAAGGGAUUAUGCUUGAACUGGAUCCUCUAAGGCCACCGGUGGGAGGGGCGGAUGAGGUAGCGUUCUCUAUACUAUAGAAUGAUUGAUUUCUAGCAGUGAGAAUAGAAUAUCCGAUGCUGUUAGCUUUCCAGGGAGUGAUUCCCAUUAGUUAGUUGGGUCUGGUCUGACUUGAUUCUGGAAAAGACUGCUUCCCUUGGCCAUAAGGUAGUUCAUGCAUUGAUGCGGAAAAGUGGGAAUAUAGUAAGUGUGCCACGAGUUACUCCUUUUGUGACUCUGUAUCUCCUCCCAGGAAGGAUCAUAUACGGAUUAUGGAGUCUUGGUGGUUUAGGUUUUGUAGGAGCAUGGCUUAAUAAGGUAGCCCCUGACUCUCGGUCUUCAGUAAAAGUGGCGAAGUAACUAACAUGAAUUAGGUUAGGGGAAGCGCUAGGCUACUAUAAGGUUCUCUUCUAUAUAAAUAAGAUAAUAUGUUUGUGAGAAAUAAGAUAAUAUGUUUGUGAUGAAAUCGAUUCCUAUUCUUUGGAACCCGAUCCUCCCCUCCUUUCGAGCUGGGUAAUCUAAAUGCCAGUCUUUUCUUCGGUCAAAGGAACCUGAGCUAGCCACAAAGGCUUAACCACCAACUGAUGCGGAUGAAUUAGCUCUCUAGCCUAGCACCCUUUCCUUCUAACCUGAGAACAGGCGCAUCUCAGAAGGAAUUGUUACUUGCUUUCGGGCGAUGUCCUUACUAAACGACCGGAUAAGCUGCUAUAUAUCUAUUCUUCAAGUCGAGGUCGAUAAUUUACGUUAGGGGUUUGUGUUGAACUCCCAAGAGGUAUCGGUUCUGCGUCGGUUGAGUCUCAAGGAUAAGUCCAAGCAGGAGAAUAUGAGGUAUCUGAACCAGCAAGAGAACCUUCCACUUCUGUCCUGGAAUCUAUUAGUUUUCGCCCUUUUCUAGUUGAAUACCCUUUUCUAGUUUCAUGCGCUAUUCUAGUUUCAUCGUAUGUAGAAAGAAGCUCUUGUUCGAUGAAGGCAAUGUAGUUUGUUGGUGACGAAGUGGGAAUCAAAUAAUCUAGUCCGCGUAGAUGUAGAAGUGACAAGAUCUUUAUCAGGAUCAAGAGUAUUAUCAUGAGCAGUAAGAGAAUCCGCAUCAGCUGUGCGAGUCAGAGUAGAAAGGACUGUUUCAAGUAAUCUGUGUUUGCGACUAGAGAAUCAGAGGUGUCACUUGCUAACGGAGCUACACCGAGACCGAGAUCGUAUAAAACAAGGUAAAAACACACAACACUGUAUUGCCAGUUUGUUCCCUUGCAAGUGGAGUGAGGAGUUUCGUUACUUUUUCUAUUGUUGAGUCAGGAGUUGAUAAGUGAGUUAAGCAGUAAGGAGCAAGUCAGAGGGCAGCAGCAAGCAAGGAGACAAGAGUCCUAAUUUCUAGCUAAAGCGAGUUCCUUUCUUUAUCCCUUCCAUUUUGUAGGGUUAGUAACUACCCAGGUAUAAAUAAAAAGCAUAUCCCUUUUGAAAGCUUACGUUAGCCAAAAUAGGGAUUUUUGAUACUUACUAUGGAGGAUAGGAGAAAAGCUAGCACCGGGGGUCGUUACCCACUUUGUUAUAGGUGGAGACAGGCUCAUUCGCCAGAGAGCGUCGAAGCUAAUAAACUGCUUUGCGCGUAUGGGAUUCCCGUCCUCAGUUGUGCUAGGUCUGGUUAAACCCAGCCAUUGAGGUCUGUGAUGAUAAAGAAGUAAGGGCCUGCCUUGCUCUGGUAUACAGCCAGGUUGAAUGAUGAUGCUACGUCGUGUGCUUACUCACCUUCUAGACCCUAUGGAAUACAACUCAUAAAUACAAAAGUAAGGAUUCCAUUAUACCCUAUGGAAUACAACUCAUAAAUACAAAAGUAAGGAUUCCAUCGUGCUCUCCUUGCUAGCUUAACACGACCCAGAGGAAAGACAAGCUUGUGAUUGGAGUGAAGGAUAGAGGCAAAUUCCAGUAAUAAACCAGCUACCGACGUCAAUGAGAAUACAAGUUUCCUUACAAGUUGACUAGAGAUAUUCUAUUAAUCUAAUUACUAUUCCUCCCCUUUGACGAUAUAAUCAGACACAUUCCCCGCUGCAUCAUUAACUGGAGAAAAGGAGAAGAAGGGCGCCUGCAUUAGUGGAGCAGUCAACUUGGCAUCAUAAGAUGUUUGAAAGGGUUGAGCACCAAUAUCCAAUAUGUUUUUAUGCGAGAUCCUCUUUGGGAAGACAGGGCACCAAUAUCAUAUAAAGCACUCUUUCACUACAAGGGUGUUUCAACUCAUGGUAGGCUCGUCUCUCUGGCAAUAAGGGAAUGUCAUCUUAGCGCCCUCGCUUUCCACUCCGCCAAGUCACUUAGCAACUCCAAUAUGUAUUAACGGUGCUUUUUGUUGUCGACUUUCAAUCUGGGUGUUUUGCCUGACUUUCAUAAUAGGACGAGAAAUGGAUGAAAUGAUUUGUUUGACUGUUACAUUCCUAAAUUAUAUGGUAGGCACAAGAGAGAGAGAUUCCAGAAAUGAAGUAUGGACUUCCGAUCAAUUGUUUUGACAGAGCGCGGGUUAGGGAAGGGAGUUUUGUUAUGAGUUUGCGAGUUUACCGCGAUAGAUUCCAUUCUUCAAUCUGAGAGGUUGGUGCUGAGAGCAGAGGUUGGAUUUACCUUAGUUGGAGGGACAGGUGUUCAAUUCUGUAGUUAUUGAGGUAAGGGUUCAAUCCUUUAGUUCCGUAGGUCAGGGUUCAAUUCUGUAGUGUUGAGGACAGGGUACAUUAGCAGGAAGAAGCUUAGUCUAGUUAUAGGAUCUUAAGCCGGGGGUUAGUUCUUCGUUUAUUUGAAAGUGCAAUUCCAUUCAAGACUUUCCGUUCUUGGCGGAGAGGUGGAUUGACCUUAUCCUUCCUGAGAAUGCUUUUCUUUCCCUUUACGUGGUGCCAGUUCCAGCUCCAGGCGAGGAGUCCAAAUAAUCCAGAAAGGUAGCAGUAGAAAAGUCAUAAGUGGUAAGCUAAGCUGGACAGAAAGAAGUUGUUUCAUCCCAUAUAAAAGAAGAAAAGGAAGAUCAUCUCUUUUCGAAUGAAUGCCCACCGCUGUGUUUUAAACUAACGGAGUUUUUUGAAGCAAAAGAAAAGGGAAGCCAAGUCGAUAUCAUCAAGCCGGUAUCUGAAAAGAAAAUAGAUAAAUAACAAUCAGAUCCUAUAUACAAUGUAGAUUAGAGAAAUUCAUACCAAUUGAUAUGCGAAAAAAAGUGCAAUUUCCAUUAACGAGUUGAGGUCGUAGAAUAAGAUAGUAUAGGUGGGUCGAGGAAGAAUCAAAUCUCAAGUAAGCUAUUAGAGCAGAUCCAGCAGUAAGCAGUGAGGAAGCAACCGAACCUAGCUUAUGCCCUUCAUACGAGUUCUGUUCUCAAGUAAUCCGUGAAGUCGACUAGGUAAAAAGAAUCCGAUGUAUAUGUAUCUGAGGCAGGAGCUGGAUUAGAGUCCGGAUUAGAGUAUUGAUUAGAGUAAGGAUCAGGUACAGGCCCAAUCGUUCUCGUUGAGUGGAGUUCGCCACACUUAUUUCAUGCAAGUGUUGUAUAGAUCCGAUCCAGGUAAUAAAAAGCACUUAGAUGCUCUCAUCUUAUAUAUAUAGAGAGAGAACAUCUAGAGAGAGAGAACAUCUUAUAUCAACAUCUUAUAUAUAGAGAGAGAGAACAAGCACAAGCAAUCUGAUGACUAACUGGUUUACGAGAGAACAAGCAAUCUGAUGGACUUAACUGGUUUACAAGGCGCUCGAAAGAAAUCUUCCUGCUUGACAAGGCGCUGCGCUCGGAUGUCGUGGAGAGAGUUUCGGUUCUUGUACGGUUUACAGUAAAGGAGACCAGAGCAGAGAGAGGGGUUCGGUACUUUACCUUUGUUGGCUACGAGAGCUGUAGUUCAUCUCACACUCCGAUAGAAGAAAAGGCUCAAGUCAAAGCGGUAAGCCCGGACAAUCCGUUUACCUUUCUUAUGGCCCAAGUGGUAGAUAACCAGAUCCAUCUCUUGCUUCCUUACCUGAUCCUGCGUAUGAUCCUGAUCUAGUUUAUGAUCUUAUAGAUGAAACUCGCCAAGUCAUAUUACCGACUUAAUAUAAGGGCAACAAAUACAACAUUGACUUUUUCUUCUUAUUAAGAUCUUUCUUAUACUGCUUCUCUCAUUGACUUAACAAGAACAGAAAUAUACUUUACAGAUCUCUACUCCUCAACUCAAAUGGAAAUCCACUUGUAUUCCUUACUUAUAGGUUCUGGAACUCUACCACUUCAUACUGUCCGGUCAACUCUAUCACUUCUCUUACUGCCCGGUAAACAAAUCCAAUAGUCAUUUCAUCUCCCUCGAGCGCAUGUCAUAUCAUAUAAGAUGGAAAUAGUUUAGUCACAAACAUUCAAAAUCAGCGGGAAUUUCUUUUAGCGCGGAAGCUCCUAACGCCAAAGACAGGAAUAGAACAACUUUCCGAGCACAGAACUCAGUUAGCGCCGAGUGAAACAUUCCAUUAAUCUAUCGAGUGGUCUUCAACAAAUCAUUCUGAAAGUUCCCAGUAAGGAGUGAGUUAUUCCUCCAGUCUUGUUUCUUUGUCAGCGAGAGAAUCAGAAGUUUCAAGAUCUAAAGCAGAAGACGGAUUGGAAUUAGGAUCAUCAACAGGAUCUAAAGCUUAUUAAUUGCCUGCUGGAGUCUUUCUUUGUCAUAGAGAGAGUUUCGGGUGGUGGAAUUCCUAUAGUGAAAGAGGUGAUUGUGUUGGUUCAGAAGGUGAAUGAGUUGGAGUCGAUAACACCUCUGCUCUUGUUGGUCACUAAACGGAUUGUCGAGUUUAUGCUCCUUCCCUUGGUUACGAGAUAGGAAUAAAUAAGGAAAGGAACUACUCUCAUGCUGAGGUGCUGUCUGGUUAGGCAGUGCUAGAGACCCUAGCUACAUCCUCCCACCUACCAGCUCCAUUCUUUCUUGAUAGUUUCCCCGGGGAACAAGCUUUGGAACCAGCAAGUCAACAAGACCAACUUAUUAGAGAGGAGCCGUUUAAAGAUUCUUCCAUUCAAAAAGAAGAUAUAGGUUAGGUUUAGUGCUUUCUUCCAUGUUGGAUCAAUGAGGAUGGUGUGAUCUUACCUCUCUCUCGUGGCUUUCCCCAUCCAUCUGAGGACUCCCUCGUCUUUUUCAAUCCUUUCGGCAUAGAGUAGAUAUUCGAUUUAGAAACUUCAAAGGAGUACGGGCAUGCUUUAUUAGUAGUUUUGAGUUUGGCUAGAAUAAAACCUUCCUUUUCGAAGACUACGAGCAAAAGUCCACCUGAAUUACCUAAAAUGAAUCAAAAUCACCCACCCCAGGCUACGACAAUCUGAGAUCCGUCUUCGAUAGACAUGAACCUGGUGCGUUAGCCUUUCCGUUUUGUCAGCAGAUCCUAUUUCAUUCAAGCCUAUAUAUUCUAGAGGGUAGGGAAAGAUUCUCUGCGCUCUUUUACCUACCAUGGGUUAAUAGUGGUGGACCGAUCGACCCUUCCAUUCAAGCCAUAUCGUAAAAGCCUUCUCUUCUCUCUAAUGGUUUUGGUGCAAUGAGGGAGCGACUUUCACAUCAUAGGGUUCCGCAGUAGGUCGAAAAUCCUGAGCUUCGUCAAUAGGCGUCCUGGUAAAAAGGGGUUCGGUGAGGUUUAUUGGGGCUAAGCGCUGAAGUACACCGAGCCCCCGGUUUUGCAUGCGGUACUUCGUCACCGAGCCGUAGAUCCACCCGAUACCGCCCUCGUACCAUUCCCUUCUGAAGCUAUAGCCUCUCUCGUACCAUUCCCUUCUGAAGCUAUAGCCUCUAUGGAUAAGGUUGGAACAAUUCCUGCUGCUAUAAAGAAAGAAAAUGGAUGAAGUGAGAACUAAUAUCCUAUAAGGUGUUGGACUUACUACUCUUUAACUAAGAAGGUGGGAUUGUACCGGUCGACUGGACGAUGGUAGGAGAAAUCCUUUGAAAGGGCUAAUAUUUACUAACCUAUUGAUUUGAUUGGGCUUGCUUUCUUUGCUUUCUCUUAGCUUCCCUUCACUUGUCCCCUUUCUCUUAGCUUCCCUUCACUUGUCCCAUAUACUAGAGGAAUCGGGUUCUGGGUUUGCAAUGAAUCCACUCGCGCUUACUUACUUGAGUUUUAGGGUAUUAUUAAGUAAGUCCUCGCUUCUAAUACCCUUACAGCUACAGCUUUAGUAAGCUAUCUCUCUCUUGCUAGCUUGGGAAAGGCAUGAUAUGCUUGAAGCCGGCUCUCCUUAACUUAUGAUUUCCUUUGUUUUUUCUUCCUUAAGGGCCCCAUCAAACUCCAAUGGUCCUAUCGAACCAGCUAUUUCACCCUUGUACUGCCCAACCAGCUAUUUCACCCUUGUACUGCCCCUGGGGUGGGGGAGAAAGACCAACAAUCAAUGAUCUUGUUCAUUCAUAUCCACCCGUAUGCUAGCAACUAUGGAGGAGCGGCAUCUUUUCCUCCCCGGGCAUCUAGCUAAUGCAUCAUUUUGAGUUUCGCAUUCAUGCAUUGGAUCGCCCUUUCUCGUACUGUACAUUGUGAAGAUCCAUAUGUGCAUUAUAAUAAUAAGAGAAACACCUCUGGAAGUGAGCUACGGGCUAUUCCCUCUCGACAUCUGUUUAUCCGGAAGCAGCCUUUAAGUGCCUUUCCUUUCGCUUUUCACUAAUACUGGAUUUCUUUGAGCUUCACCUUAUUACUUAACCUUCUAACUAGUAAAUAUAUACUACCGUUAUGGAGUUUUCUCCUAGAGUUUGCUAUGAUGAGCUACUUCGUAUGAACUUCGGACUGCUAACAUGGUUACGUGCUACUUACUGAAUACUCGAGCACAACCUUCCUUUCUACGACUUCUUUGAGUUCUCUUUUUUCCCCGCCUAUCGUUGAUGCCUAAGCAUUCCUUUUCUCUAAUUUCGUUAAUAAAUCCGUUGUGCCUUGGCACCUUGCUUGAGCACUUGGCCCUGAGCCUCGAUAACUACCCGCCUAUAGAUAACUUUCAUGACCUGAUUCAGCUUUGACCUUUAUUUAAUACUCUCUGAAGCGCACUACAUACUCUCGUUCCUUUAUUUAAUACUCUCUGAAGCGCACUACUAUAUCUCGUUCUUUACUAGUUAACCUCUGAUUUCUAAUUCAUAGAUUCUCGCUAUCCUUCUCCGAGCUCCUACGACUGCUUUCUUUCUUUCCCCAUUUCCCGUUCAAGCGGUCGACCGCCUCCAUCAUUAGAAUUCCCCUGUCGCUAGUCAGUAAAGUAGUUAGUCGAGUGGACUCUCUGGGAAUAAAUGUUCAAGAGCCUGCGCUCAGGAAGCGAGCAAGAAGUUCAAAGACAGCGCAAAGGGCAAAGAAACACGUGUUUUAUAGAAACUAGAUGAGCUAUAAGCAAAUCAAUCCCCUUCUUUGAUCACUUUGAAAUGGGGUAAGACGUGGGCCAUCUGAUAUGAGGGAAUGUUAAGGGCUCGGCUCAACACUGAUCGAUUCCAUUUUGGAUUGGCGAAGAUGAUCUCUUUAGGGCAGUGUCCCUGGAGUCGUCCCACUUCAACAUCAUUUUCCAAUAGAACGCUUUCUCGAAGGCGAGAGUCGACCUUUCUUUAGAGGAUGAGGCUCAGGUGAAGGCAGAGCGGGGAGCCUACCGAUCUUAUGAUUCUUCGUUCGUUACUAUAGCCUUAACCACGCAGUCUUUUCUUUCUUAUACCUUCCUUCCCUUGUAGCUCCGCUUACUUAAUACAUGAAAUUUCGCCAUGCAUGCUCCUUUACCUCUGCUAUGGAAUUCAUAGGUUUUGUCCGUUUAGUAACUCUUUGCCGGUUCCUUAAGUUUCCACCAUUGUUAACAUACAUGUGAAUCCUCUAAGAUCAAGUGUCCAUCUCUUGGAGGUCUCCCGCAUCGCCAUAUGGUUGGCCAUGACUGAACGAGGCUAAUAUGAAAGAAAGGGAAUCCAGCUUUCCUCCGGAGCGAAGUCUUCGCGGAAACCAAAGAAAGAAAUCAGGAUAGAAUAGAAUCCCGCCUUGAGCGCUGAAAACAUAGAUUGUAAUAACUUCGUAAUAACUCGUACUUGCUGCCGCGUAACAUUAGUAGUUACUUGCCCGUCUCACGCUCUUCUAUUUGUAGGAUCGUCAUCUCGAUGAAUAAGAGUUCAAAGUGUAUUGGCAGUCGCCUCCUUGUGUCCGUUGUCUUUCAGACCUUCAUGCCCGCCAUAACCGUCCUUAACCUUUCUGUACCCUUAUCCCUUCUGUAGAUCGAAUUGUUUAACCCCAUGGAAUCCAGGCCUUCAGCAUUUACGCAGUCGUUCGAGCAGCCCUACGCAUUGUUGAAUCCCAGAGAACCCAACCAACCCGGGGACCCUUAUACUACGCAGCAGCAACACAACAGCGUCUUUGAAGGCUGGCUGACUCACACAAGUAUCAACAGCAGUUGUAGUGGAGUGGGGGAUGCGCCUAUUAGUUCUUAAGGGUGAUUUAUUGGCACUUUCCUUUGUAGUGGUAGCGCCCAGCCCAGCAACUAUUCUUUUGAUGAACUUAACCUUAGCCUUAGUUGGUCGUAUGCUAUUCUUUUGAUGAACUUAACCUUAGUAAAAGUAUAUAGAAGCUGUUCUCAUUUCCUCUGUGUUGGCGACGAUAUCUGAUCCUUAAGAAUCCCCCACAAGUAGCGGUGUUUCCCCCACAAGUGGCGGUUUUGUUGAAAGUGGGUCAGCUAACAAUUCCUCUAGUGGAGAGAGUUCGGGUCGAGGAAGAAUAAUAAGGAUAAGAAAGGAUAAGAAAAGAAGUUGGGGCGCAGAAGCCAGAUAAAUAUCUGACUAAGUUUGUUUUCUUAUAAGGUGACGGAUCUGUUGCAGGACUAGUGUUUGUUGGUGAUGGUGAAGGUAAGUAAAGAAUACUCGUUUCCAGCACUUGUAUAUAAGGCGUCAACUCGAACAGCUUACUUGGAAUAUUACCAAAUGCUAUCUAUAUAUGCUAGAUUCUAUUCCAUUCAAAAGGGUAACUCGGUAUUCCAGAAGUUUACAAAGAUUAUGUUUAUUAUGACCCAACAGCGAAUCACCUCUAUCGAUCGACAAGUAGCAACAGCGGAACAAUCACCUUAAACUCUCUAACACACUAGUUUCUGGCGGCAAUGGAGCUCCCCCUGCUCUUGCUUCCACUGAUGACUCAUAGCCCAUACUAUAUUCUUCCCCUCACUCGACAACAAAAGCACUUUCACUUUCCACUACUUCAUCGCCAACAAACUUACAAUAAGGGCCUGAGGCAAAGAGUCAAACCCAGUUGUCAAUCACAGAAUGCUGUUAAGGAGUGUAAGACUGAAAGCAGUGAUAACAAGAAUGUGCCCCAGCAGUUGAGGAGUGAACUAGCAGGUAGUAAAGUCAUAAUUGUCCUAGGCAGUAGAAGUAUUAAACCAGUGACAGGUGCUCCUUCUCUCACCCAGUAAGUAAAGGAAUAGAACUAAGUAGUAACAGUAGAGGUCGUGUCGGGUAUAGUAGAUAAUUGCCUGUUGAGGGAGUGUGAGUGGAAUACCAAGUUGUCAGAGUCGAGUCUACUUUCCUAGGAACACUAGCUUAAGGCAAGAACUGGUAGAGGUUAGUGGUUGGGAGUGUCAGAAUUGAACUAGUAAGUAGAAGCCUUAAAGCACUGAGACAGGCCCACAGAUUCUCCGAUGCUAGUUUCAGAAUUGAGCUAAGUGUAGUUAAAGAAUUCCACCGGGUAGACUCAGUCAGCAGUCUCAGGAAUUGACCUCAGAGGUGAGCCAGCCAGUAGGAAAGGAAGAAUCAAACUGCAGCAAAUAAUACUAAUAAAUAAGCCCAAUAAACACUUGAACUAGUGUGACACAACUAGAAUAGAACUGAGAAUACAAACAUUAACUCUCAAGUGGGAAAUACAGAAUGAACUUAAGUAGUUAGGGAAUGAAACGACUCUAUCACUAAGAAUUGGUCUAGGGAUCGGAGGAAUAAAAAACUCAAAAGUCCGCGGGAAAUAGGGAAUGAAACUCCGUAUUAGAAGAAUGCAAGGGUGAACAGAGGAAUCCGACUCAAUAGUAAGUAGUACCCUUACCGCAAUCAACUAAUAAUUAGUAAAUACAGAAUGAAUCUAAUCAGUCUAAGAAUGGAAUGAGCUUCACCAAUCUAGUUAUCUCAGGCAGGAAACUCAGAAUGCCAAAAAAGUGAGAAUGCUCGGGGCACUACAUCAGAAUUGAACCGACACCAAUAGAUAGAGCAGGAAUCCAGCAGGCAAAAACACAGAAAGCAGAAGACUGGGGAAGAGACCUCCGGGAAGGAGAUACUUCCCUCAGACAGGAGUACCAAUACUAUAUUCUCUGACUUAAGCUUUCUUGCCCUAAUACCUCAGACAGGAGUACCAAUACUAUAUUCUCUGACUUAAGCUUUCUUGCCCAAAUAUAUAAUAUAUAAAGAAUCAGACUUGCCCAAAUAUAUAAUAUAUAAAGAAUCAGCUACUUUAUUGAGAUAGAUUCCACAAAGAAUCAGCUACUUUAUUGAGAUAGAUUCCACAAAGAAUCAGCUACUUUAUUGAGAUAGAUUCCACAUUCCAAAAGUGGAAAAGAGGUGAAACAACACAAAAGGGAUAUUCUCGUCUAUGGGGGAGUGGGCCAAGCAUGAAUUCAGUGACGCAGUAGCUCAAACAAAGGAGUGGAUUUGAAGCUACCUAGCACAAUACUGAAUACUGUAAACAACAAAGCAUUGCUUUAGAGAUUGAAGGUAGUGUAGCGCGAAAGGAACACACUUCGGGCAGUAGGAAAACUAAUGAGAAUGGAAUUGAGCUCUAUAUACACUUAAUAUUGAAAUACGAGUGGAAAGAGAACCUAUAACGCUGAUGAAGAAAGGACGGAAAGUGACCAUCAGAAUAAGAAGCAACCAAAAAGUCAGAGAAUCCAAGGGCUCACUAGACGGUGUUGUAGGCUGGAGCUAAAAGUAGUAGAUUGGAGUUUUAGUGCAGAAGAACUCCGAAUUCGCUUUUAUGAUGGACAACUAUCUGAUAGACAACUAACAUAAGAAAGAAUAUAAUAUAGAUAAGAAAGAGCAACGUAUAGAAAGAAGCAAGUGAGUAACAGGAUACUAGGAAAGUCAGCGCUAAAGGAAGUUAUUCAAUGAAUUCUAAAGAUAAGGGAGUUUAGUAUAGAGAGAGGGGAGUAAGAGAUCGAUUGAACAAGUCGAGUGAGGGUCGGAACUUAGCAUCUUAACUUCCAGUCUUGUUUGGGGAAGAAUCAAUUCCCAUUUGAAAUUGUUUAAUAAAUUGAAGAGAAAGUCAAAUCAAAUAGAAUGCCCCUACCCUAUUUACCAGUAUAAGAUUCAUGAAAAGAGUCAGACAACCCCUUGUUAGGAGCUAGCUAUUAUUUGAUAGUAUAUGAGUAGAAGUAUAUGAGUAGAACAGAAAUUAGAUAAGCGCGACUAGCUCAGAAACCACACAAAGACAAACACAUGGAGGCCCAACUCAUAAAUCAUAGACUAACCAAAGAAAGCACAUGGGGAUAUUGGACGCGUGUCUAGUUCUCAUUGGAAAGGAAUCGGCGUAAUAUUCUUUCUGUCUCCCGCCUGACACAGUUUUACAGGCGGUGAUACCUGAUUGGCUCCAAAUCCAUAGUUGUCGAAAUAAUCUAAAGAGAACAAGCCUUUGAAACCGGGGUGACACAUGGUUGUACUGGUAAGCUUUGGGCUGGAGAUUGACGAUUGACUGAGCGUGCUUUGGCAACUCGUGGUGGAGUACUCUCAGACAGAUUAGCUCGCCAGCUCCCCUUGCUUAGAAAAUCCAUGUUUGGCAGAACCCCUAUCUCUUGAUUGAUCUGAUCAGACGCUUUUUCCCAGUCGGUACCCUUUACUGCUCUGUAAGUACUGAACUAGCACUAGCAAUAGCUUUUUCCAGUACAUGUAGAACCUAGUAUGAAAACCUUAUGUAUAUAAGUCCUAGAAACUCCCGAAUACAGGCACCUGAGUUAGCUAGAUACUAGACCUCCACUCUUGAAACUAAUACUUCUUGAAACAAGCUGCUUUCUAAUCUACCUAUGGCUACACUACUAUACGGGGCAAGAACUAACCUUUAUGAACGGACCUUGAACUUCACCCUCUCUUUACAGCACCUACCUGACCUCAUAAGAGAAUAAGAGUAAGCUAGUUGUUUCAUUAAAGUGAGUUGUUUCAUUCCCGAAGUCAACACCUCUUCUUCUCUGUGGGCAUCAACACCUCUUCCUCUCUGUGGGCCAAAAACAGGAAGAGCCAGAUCCUGCUGUAAGGAAAGUUAGCAGUAAUAGGUAUAUCAGCAGAGUUAGCAUCAGUGUGUCAUCAUUGGAAUUGUUGUUCGUAGUAGGAAUCUCUUAAGGGCCGCUUGUUCACUGGUCGGUCUGGUCUGCCCUGUUUUAUAGGCUUCAAAUGCAAUUGAAAGCGAAUGCGGCAGGGAGCUAGCCACUACUAAUCUAUUGUAUGUCCAUAUCUUAUAUGAAAGUGAGAAUCAAAUCAAUACAAAUAAGACCUAAACUAUAGGGAUAGGGCACAGGAGACCAACUACAGGUUUUAAGGAUAUAAAUACCACAGCGGAUCUAGCUGAAAACAGCCCCUACUACCUUAGAGCCUUGCUUACUGCCCUGCCUAAGCUGUCUAUAUCCUCUGUUUAAGUCUCCGAACACUGACUUCACAUCUUUAUCUAACGCUUACCUCGGAUCUGAACUACCCUUCUAGCAUUCUGACCUAACCCAUAAAUGGUGUUUCUCAUAAUUGAACCAGUGCUUCUAAUACGCUACUGCCCUAACGAAUAGAACUAGUGCUUUUUAUACGCUACUGCCCUAACGAAUAGAACUAGUGCUUUUGAUUCUGACUUUAUGUGCCUAAGAGCCUGGGACUACUAUCAAUAAGAGUUGGACUGUAAACCGUGAAUCCACAACGACUACUAGAAAGAGUCAAACAAGGAACUAAGGCUUAAUGCCUAAUGCACUAACCAAGGCUAACUAAGGAACUCGACUACUGCUUCUCAUAAUGCAACUAGUACAGGUAGGACUGACACUGCUUCAUCUCAUUCCGACAUUCCUUACCUUGCUUCACUGUCUAUGAGAACUACACUAAGGAACCCCGGCUAUAACCAAUGGUAAUAAGAAUUGGCUCCUAACCACCAAUAGAGGAACCUAGCAUCUAACUCAGUGAAUCAAACUCAUCACUCAGGCUUAUGCUCGAACAUAGGAGUCGACAUAAGGAACUACAUAAUGGAACACGACAGGAGUAGAAUGCAUCAACCACAUAACUAGUACUUCGUAUUGUAUUAUAACUCAUAUUCCCUAGGCACCUACCAAGCCUUAGACGCCUACAGGAAAGAAUGUCACUCGAUACCUGGGUCCUGUAUUCUAUAACUAAUAUAUGUCACUCCGAACUCUUGUUUGCCCUCUUGCUCCGUCAGACUUAUACUCCUUGACUAAGUUUGUAUUUCCCUACAAUAAGGAUUGGACUCCCCUACUGACUUUCUUCCCUUUAACUCAGCCUAGUGCUACCUAGAUAGGACUUAUAAGCAUCAAUCCACGAAUCAAGCCUGCCCUCCUACCCUUCACUAUUAUAAUUCACCUGUCGAUCGGUCUGCCGGGUACGCUUGUCUUUACCGUCGUUGCUUGGCUUAGUUUAACUCACUACCGAAAAGAGUGGAGCGGCCCAAAGCACUCAUUUAAAAAGCAACAAUAAAUAGAUUCUUUGUUAUUUCUUAUGGCAGCUAAGCUUGUAGUCGUAGCUUGGCUGGCGCUUGGCCUAAGAAGUUUGACUAUACAGCAAAAGAAUAAUCAAUGCAAUAAGGUAGUUGACAAGCGGGAAUGCAAGCAAUAGGCUGCUGGGCUGGGUGUGUGCGCUCUAGCUUAAGGUGUUCCUCCGAGGACUGGAAGGCAUUAGUCGAAAUGCUAGAUAUAGUUGGGGUUGGUCAAGAAGUAGUGUUUCGAUUCCCCGUUAAGAGCUAUGAUCUUGUUGGCAUUAAUAUAAGAUUUCAGUAAGGUAAAGUAAGCUUAGUUGUCCAGGGAUAAAGACCAAUAGGCAGUGAGUAAGGAUUUCCGUAAUUAAUCAUAAAUGCACUACAACAUAACUUAUGGGGCGAUGACAGCAAAUCUCACAUGUAAUACUCUCUUUGGUUUGAGUCCUACUUCACUUUAUCUUAUCUUAUUCUUUUACCUAAUACCCUAUACAGCUUCCUCGCGUUCCUCAACUCUUUAUGCGAAGUCUGCUUUUCCUGGCCUGGCUAUCGGUCUAUAUCUCUUUGCUUCCAAACUAGAACCACUGCUUCCGGGGCUUUGACUACUGACUUCGAAGGCGUAUUACCUUGUCUUUGAUUCUUUAGUGAGAGUUGGGGUUCGCUACCUCGGGGGAACGAAACAAACUCCAUAGCUACUGAUCCGAUCCUAUGUGUUUGAUUGCUAGCCAGCUCUUUUCCUUGGUAACCUGACACUACUUAUUUCAAUUAGAAAACUCAUAUUCUAGUCAAGCUAUCAGGCUACUCUCUGUACUGGUAAGGACGAAAACAGCUCCUAGGGAACUAAACUACUAACUAACAGGCUGGGCUAUGUGAAUUGAAAACCAGUUUGUUUGAUGGUUCUUUGCUUUUGUGUUAUAUUGCCUGCUCUCCUGCUGCUUUAUAGCCUUCCGAUCCCGAUAUCCAUUCCAAUUCGAUUGUUUCAAACAGCCCUUCCUUAGUUUCAAGCUAAACCGGCUUACUUUUGUCUUUAGCUACUGACCCCUCUUAUGAUAAGGAAUUGAAUCACUGCUAACAAGGUUGUCACAGCUACUGGAAAGAAUGUAACCACUACAGAUGAGAAUGCGAAUCAACAGUAUAAGAACUCGAUCUAGUAGCCCGAGCCCAACCAUUGAUACGAACUCCGCUUUUCAUUGUUAGCACUGCACCCCAAGCCCCGACUUGUAGCUAUAGAACCUAACAGCAAUUCUGAUUCCUUUGCCGAGGUCCCUGGCUCAUUCUCUCUUUUCUUUAUUCAAUUAAGUAGUUUGCAUUUCACUUAGUAGUCAGAAGGUAAUGCCUGGCAAACCUAGUCUAUUUCACCCGGAAUUCAAUCAAUAAGAAAGAAACCAUCAAUCAAUAAGAAAGAAAAACAUAAGUCAGACUUAGUAUUGUAUGACAUCCGAGGCCCUAAUUGAUGUCGAAAGGUAAGAGUAUCAGAGCAGUAAGUCAAUGAAUGAAACCUAUACUAAUCAAAAGAAAACUACGAAUAAGGAAUGUGACUAACGAGCGAUACUUCAACUCCCAAGUAAUAAUAAGUUGGUGUUAGGGAGUAGCUCAGAUAUGGUGAAUAAGAAUAAAGAAAGGAACUAAAUAGUAGUAGAAGUAUAAGCCUGUGUGUUAAUAAUCAAUAAUUUGAGAAGUAAGUCAAAGAAUGGGCACGUCUCUCAGGGGAUUCAAAAAGAAUAAAGAUGUUAGAUCCGGAGUGGAAGGUUUGUGAAGUCGGAAUUCCACUUAUAAGUCAGUGAAUAAAGCCUUACUUACGGAUUUGAACUUAGUAGUAUCGGAUUUCAAACUACAAAUACAGCAGAAUCCAACUUGGUAGUAUCAGAUUGACCCGUGGAAUAGUGUAUAAGAGGAACAACUCAUCUCAUUGGUGAACUAACACAGAAGUGGGGAUACCAGGCUAAGAGUAAGAGUUAGUAGUAGAAAACACAAACUAUAAAAGAAAGAAAGCAAGUACUCUAUUUUUCCCUUAACCCUAUGCCUCAAUCAAUUCUGUUCUUUUUGAUUCCGUUGCCUGUUCUGGAAAGCCAAGAACUGAUCUCGUAGACACCACUGGACAACCGUACUCUACGCCGAAGGAGCUACUUCACCGACGACGCAGGGCAAUAAGUGGUAGAGUGAAAGAAUACUAAUAAAGGAAGGUACAAGGAAGGCUCUUGUGCACCGGGCGGUCAAUAAGUGUAUGAGUGAAAGAAUACUCUGAAGUGUGUUAGCUUGUUUCUUUAGCAGGUGAGGAAGAACGAUAAGAAGCUAGAAGAUAUAACGGAGGGGGCAAACAGCGCGAGGAGAAAGUAUACGAGAGAAGAGGUAAUUGACAGAGAGGUUAUAGGAAUAUCAUAAUUUCAGAGAUCUACUCUACUUUAACAUUUCGACUAAACCCCCAUUUUAGCAUUCCGUACUUUUCGCUUCUGCUCUUUCAACUCUCACGUUACUUUCUUUCUUAUGAUACCCCAUAGGCUAAUUAUUCUGUUUCAAACAUAGUAGCUUGGCCAAUUACAUUUUCUAUAAUAAAGUAACAAAACAACUUCAUUAUAAAGAUUCCACUUCUUACUGCUUGACUACUUUCAUCGUAUGAUGCUCUCCAAAGAACAAUUCUUCUCAAUAAGUGGGAAUCCCAAUAGUCAAAUAUUCUAGUGGCUUCAAAGCUAUUCUAUCACUAGAGCGCUUUCCUUUCUCGGGAAUUGUAGCCCCUUACUUAACCGGGAAUUGAAGCCCCUUACUUAACCUAACCAGCGCUUAUCGCUUAAAGCCAAUACUAAGGGGAAGACCAUAGACGGCACUGUGGAUGGUAACUUAUCGAGGUCAUUUCUGAAAGCCAAUAAAUCAGAGGGGAAGGCCGGAGACUCCACAGUGGAUGGAAGUACAACUAAGUUAACACUCUUUAAUGAAUGCAGGAACAGAAGAGAAGAAUGUGGGUCCAUACCUAUGAAAGAAGGUUGGGGGACUGCUAAUCCCACUCUAUGUCUUGCUACCUAUGACUGCUUUGUCGACUCUGUUGACGGAGUACGCCUCACAGCACGGCUAAGGAGGGAACUCUCUCCUCUCUGCGCAAAGAGAAAGUCUUCCUUUGAGACAACUCUACUUAUGCAAAGAAAGAGAAAGUUGGUACUACUCUACUUAUGCAAAGAGAAAGUCUUCCCUGUUUUUUUACUACUCCACUCUUCUUUUUUCCGUUCACUACUAUCGCUGGCUUAGCAAGUAAAUGAUUUAUAUCCGAAUCGGUAGACUGCUCGUUCUAGGCCCGUGCUUGGAUGACCGACGAAAAAGCAAGGUAGAAAGUAUCGCCGGUUUGAUAGAAGGAAGAAGGAAGUCACUUCUCCGCUAUGAAAGAUGAGUGGAAUAUACCUUAUUUCUCUCUUUGGCCUGUGUGGGCAUUCGUCUUAAAGAUCGGGGAGUGGUCCGGCUCAUGGAAAGAUAUGCUUUAGACAAGGGUUAGGCACCGAAGAUGAACUUAGAACAUGGAUUUUCCUUAAUCACUUUGAAAUCGUUCAGGACCUUCUUUCUUUCCUUCUUUCCUUUUGGGCAUGUCGAGUUGAGUGAGAAACGAUAAGUAGCAGCUUGUACGCGACACCCCGAAAUCAACAAUAAAGAUUGGAUUCUACGGCUUGGCUUUCUCAUGUAAGUAACCUCCUUCCUUCUUUUACGCUUCUAGGCAAUAAUAGAUUAUACCUUGAGUCUGAUUAUACCUUGAGUAAAUAAUAUAGAUUCCACCUUCAUAGAUUAUACCUUGAGUUAAUAAUAUAGGGGAGUAUACAAGAGGAUUACCACUUCCAUACUACUACUAAGUGUAGCCAAUGGUGCUUCGCGAGACCUUUUCGGUCCACACUGGAGAAAACUCGUAUUCGGUUACUCUUUCCUCUUCCGUUCAAUUGUACGUAGGACCAAGACCAUUCGAAGGUAGGUGGUUACAUGUCGAUAUUGAUGUUGCUUUCGCUUGAAUAAGAAAUCUUCUUUCACUCCAACGGAACAAGCAAAAGAAGAAACAUUAUAUUACUUAUUGUUUCAGGGCAGGGGUGCCUUAGCGAGCAGAGCGCCGAGUUGCACUGAAUUAGCGGUUAAAGUGAAGUGGUAGGUGGCAUCGUCUAACGUAUAUUCGGUUCAAGUCUUUCUCGAUCAAGGGGAUUUGCACUUCGAUUGCCUUUGUAUUCAGUCUACUUUCUGUCUUCUUAUUCUUGGAAGAUAGUGGUCAUGGCUCGCUGAUAUGUAGCACCCGUCCGGUAGUACGAAUCGUGUUCACACUUAUCUUUCCCACUUCAAAGAAAGAGUGCUUGAUGAUAAUCUCGAAAACCCAACUAGAUUCCCUUCAGAGCAGGUAAAUACUCUAUUCCCUUCAGAGCAGGUAAAUUGAGAUCGAAAGAAAGCCUAAGUACUAAUGCGCUUAACCCCUACUGCAGCCAAAGUUAUAGCGGCUGUAGCCGACGAGGUCAACUUUCUAUGUGGGCAUAGGACGUAUCAAUACAGAAUUUUCUCUCUAUUAUUUGAAAGGAACUAAAUAAGUGAGUUGUCUUGGGUUGAAAGGAACUAAAUAAGUUGGGUCAUGAGGAGCCGAAGAGAAACAACCCCCUGGCGCAUUUAGGUUUUGAUCAUAGAAGGCAGGGCAAGAAGGCAGAAUUCAGAAAGAUUUGAGCGCUGAAAACAAACAUCUAUUGUAAUAAUGGGAACUCUAGCGGCCCCCAAAACAGGAGUUGUGUUGAUAGUGGAAUGCAAUUCCGUUAUUACCGUGACUUUAAGUUUAAGCCGAGUUAGCAAAGUCUUGUUCUGCUAUUGGCAUGAGCAGUGCGGGUGUAGUUCCCAACGAAAAAAAAGAAUGGACAUCUUAUCUCAUCUUUUCCUGCUGAUUUGAAUGAACAAAGCAACUAAUACUGUACCCCUUCUCCUAUUCAAAUUACCCUGUGGAUCAGUCUUACUAUACCUUCCAUCGACCUGCCCUCCCUCUGACUUUAGGGUCGCUGUCUUGCUUUUGCCAUAGUUAGGAUUGAUCGGUUGGUGCACCACUUGUAUUCUGUAUUCUGAUAUUUAGUAUAGCAGUUAUACGUUGCUUGGUGGAUCCGGAUCAAUAGCUGGAGAAUUCUCAUAAGGCAGGGUGGACUUACAAGCAAUAGUUAUAGUCUAGAGCUAGUAGCGGUGGAGAAUAAGAUGUAGCAAUGGGGCACUUUCUGGCAGGAAAGCAAUACUAACAGGUUCAAUAGGGAAUCCAAAUAAGUGGGGGUUGGUUAAAGAGUCAAAGACAGGAGAGGCGUCCGUAUCAGCAUAGUCUCAAUUCUUAUCAGUAGGAGCUCCAGAGUGGACAAGUGAAAUACUAGAUUCAAGCAAGUAAAGGUAGCCCUGGAAGUAGUGACUCAAUUCUCUCUUUUGAGUGAUCAAGUCUGAAAGGCAGUACCCGUAUUCUAAACUUAAAGAAUGGAACUCUCAACACGGGUUAUAACCAAGUCAAUCAAGUUUUCGUUGAUUUUUGACUGGAACUGUUGCUUCUCGUACUGUUCCUCGUAAUAAAGAAGAAGACUAUUGUCAACCGAGACUCUAUGCUUUGGGAACUCUCUGUAAUCCAACUCAUCAGUAAGAGAAUGAAGCACCGAAAAAAGAGAAAAAGCACUCGAGCAGUAACAGGUAAUUCUACACUCCCAGCUUCAAAGCCUUAUUCCCUUGCUUAAUAGGAGUCAAAGCCUUAUACCUCCAGUCGAGUGCCGAGCUUAGCUCCACCCUUACUAUCCGCUCUAUCAUUCCGUAUCUCUGGAUUCAAACCAAAACUCCCAGCUUUGAGUCCAACACUUCUGCCUUUAAGAAUAGAGUUGUUACUUGUCCAUAACUAACUGACGCUAGAAAACUACAGAACUAAUAAUAACUCUUAAUAACUCGUUUAUUGCUGCUCCGCUCCUACCCUAAUAUAAAAACAGAACUUCUUAUAAUACGUUAUAACUACCUAGAGAAUACAUACAUACGGGAGAAGAACUAACUAUAGUACUGUUGCGCCGAGGAAGAAAUUCCCAUAAUUCUUUUCUCCGAACUGAUACUAUGCAUCUUAGGAAUGUACCAACACCAGACUUUCGAACUGUUUCUUUUCACUCCGUUAGUGCUUCUGAAGCGAGGUUAAGUGGAUGACCUGAAUGCACCUAAUAAGUAAUAACCAAUUCGUGUGGGGAGCAUUAAGAAUCUAGUAUUGCCUAAUAAGACUGAAAGGCAGAAGUGCCAGAUCAACCCCAUAAUCCAAAUACGGAUACGGAACGAAGCCACCCGCUUGUAUCCAGGCGAGGCAGGUAAACUCUUGUACUAGUUAAGUUCAUUCUGCCCUUGCCCGCGCUCCACUGCUACUAUAAGUUAAUAAGAUAAUAGAUAAAUGACAAAACCCAUUCUAAUAUACUUACACAAUUAAUGUUAUUAUUAUAACUUAGCGUAAUAUACUGACAUUGAAGCAAGAAAGAGAUAUAGAGAAUCAAAUAAGUCACGGUCAGAAUCUCACUACUAAUGGAAGGAAUAAGCAGUAGCAGACCUAUAUUUUUUAGUUGAAGAGCAACCCCGGGAAAGUCAGAAUCAAAGAAAGAAGUAGGAAUCAACACCCCAGAAUGCAGAAUUGAACCUCUGUUGCUGGGAUACCGGGCUAAGACACUCAUUCCGCUAAGAAGAAUUGCACACAUGAAAACAGGGAUCAACCGAGGUAGUCCAAAGAAUAGAGCUAGAGUCCGUAGAAGAUAGAAGCUCAUAAGUAGGAAAUCAAUAGUGCCCCGAGACACUAGUAAGUAGAAGAACUCACCUCUAAAUUAGUAAUUCCACUCGAAACGGGAAUUCAUCUAGUACUGGAAAGGUUGAAACAAACAACUGGGAAAUAAACUACUGAUAAAAAGACUGGAGCUGGGAACUAAGCCCUUAUGCCCUUACAAGCUUGAAAUCUUCCUCUGCUUGCUUUGAAACUGAGCUAUCCCUAUCUUCUUCUUAAACUCAUUGGUAAAGUGCCUCUAUGUCCAGUGCCUCUAUAUGGAUAUAAAAGAAUAAGGUACGAUGUAGGUACAUCGAAAUAGACGAAACUCAACGAGAAUCAGAAUGGAGCAAAAAAGGCAAAGAAUUGAAGAAAUCACUAGCAGAAUUGAACCGCUGCUAACCCUGGCUUGCUCUAAAAUUAGCAUCACCCGAUCUACGGCGUACUUCCCUUUCUGGCAUUCUGACCAUCCUUGGUCCACUCUGGAGCUCCCUUCUACUAGUCUAUCCUUUCCAACUCUUAUUCUGACCUUGUGUUCACUACUAAACUAAUGAAUGAGCUUAGGUCUGCUACUUCUUGGUGUGAUGUUUGGUUCUUAUCACUACUCCUACUAGCCUGCCCCGGCUUACUUGAAAACUGACACCGCUGACUUAAGGAUAUAACACUACCCUCCACUUGAAGACCUUAACUAACCUACUGCUCCUUUCUUCGAGUCUUGGUUGCGAGGUAAACUCUAACUCCGUCUUUCCCUACUAUAGGUCUUACUGUUGUUUAUCUAUAUCUAUUCUCUUAUAAUAAUAGUUGCAUGUGUUUUCUUAUUAGAUUCUAGUAAUUCCAUUAGUAGUUUGUAGAGUAGUUAGAAGCAAACAACAGUCCCACCAAAGCUGCUAUUCUAUUAUCUAUGUUGUGUUGCCGGUGUCUAAGUCAGAAAUACAGAAUAGUCUCCUGGGGUGCUUCUUCAAAUAGAGUAUCUGGGGCAAGUGCUUGUGCGCCGGGCUUACGCUUUGACUUCUCCUUUUCUUUUGCACCGGGCAACGGGCAAUAAUAUGGGUUUGGUGCUUGAGCGCAUCUUUCUCAUAUCGAUCAAGGCUUUUCUUGAGUUUUGAAUGGCGACUACAAGAUCUGCAUUAAGGAUCAGCAAUAGGGCGAGCGAGAGAGAAAGUGCAUUCUAGAGCGUUAAGUAUUGCCUACCCCAAUCGCUCUGUUCUCGUUUAAUGUUCUGUUCGAUAGGACUAAAAGGCACCCUAGGCAUUGAAGAAAGAAAAGAUGGCUUUGAAACUUAUACAGAUGGGAGUGAGCCUGUCUUUCAGGACUUGAAAAACGGAUAUUCCCCACCUAUGCCUUCGUUCUGUAACACCUCAUUACAUUACUUUAUCUUAUAUUAAACUAUUUAUUACUGAGCUCUAGAUCAUACCUAUUAUUCUCUGACUUAUACUUCGCUUGAAACCAAUUAUUAGAUAUUAUAUGAAAAUGACCGUUAUUCUCUUAUAUAUCAAUUACGAUUAUUCUUUUCUUUAAGUUAACAUAGCAUUCAUAUUCAUUGUAUCCACGUCAUCAGUAUAUGAGCUAUCGGUAACUCAUUCAGAAAGUGGACCAACCCAUUAUUCAAGUGGGGGUGAACCAUUCCACUCUUAAGGUAGUUAAGCGCAUUCUCAAAUACACGUAAUGAAAGCAGAGGAAACAAUUGACUUCAAACCGGCACCAGAGCUAUCAAGGGAAAUAGAAAACGACUACCUUUUUUAGAGCAAGAGAAUACCUUUUCCAUUUUGGAAACGAAAACUCCUAGCGCAGUUUCUUAUUCUUUACUUGGAGCUGCCCUGCCCCUCGACCUUAGUAUCAAUACAUAGUAAUCAAUACAUCAAUACAUAGUAAUCAAUACAUAGUUAGUAGGAGAGGCAGCCUUGGAGGCGAAUUACAGAACUCAAAAAUGAGGAGUAGACAAGCGAGACAUAGAAUAAGGCGUGUGUACUGCUGGGCAAAAUGCACUAAAAAGUCAGAUUACUACCCGGCCAAGCAACUCAAAAGAUGGAACCGAAACCUCUAACCUCAAUUCUGUAACUUAUGCCUUAGCGCCUCGCUUGUCCUAGGUCGGGCCUGCCAACACAUAAGCUAGCCCGCUAAAACACAUGCUGCUUUAUAUACGAUUCCUCAGCUAAUAUAACUCUCUUUCUGUCGCUCCUCUGAACCAGUGUUAGAUUCUUAUUCCUCUGUUCGAAAGGCUAUAUGCUUUAGUCACAUUUACACGAAUCUCUCUUUAUUGGCUAAGUUCGAAUUGCCCUGAACCGAGCAGCAUACGAAUCAAUCUUCUUUAAGUUAACAGAAUAGCGCAUUUCAUAAUAUCAUAACCAAAGUCAGAAUCCAAAGGGUAGAGCGCCCGAUAGGAGCACUUGCUUUAUUCUCCCUAUUCAUAAAAAGAAAAGUGAAAGGAUCCGGUGUGGUGUUUGUGUUUAAAGAAAGAAAAUACGCUUAGAUGAAGGGGUGUUCGAGACAAACUAUGGAUUGAGGUCAGUCAUGUCAGUUUUCGAGUUCUAGUAGCGGUAGGCCGAUACAAUAGUGAAUAAGGCUGGGCCGGGCGUAAGAGUAAGACCGAGAAGCAGGCAAAGAAUGUAACGAGUGAGGGACAAGAAUGGAAUAGAGGUUUAGGAGCAAUAAGUAGAUGAGAUGAGCCUUAGUGAAAAUAGCCUGAGGUAGAUGAGCCGAAUACAGAAGAAAGAGAAUCCGCUGUAUAGGUUGGUGCUUACGCUCUAGGUCGAGUUCGGGUGCAGAAGAUGCUUUAGCUUGGUUAGUUGACAGAGCCUAGCCAGUAGUUUCUCAGUGGAAUACCGAUCCUGCUCGAGUUAUAGUUGCAUCCCCAGUAGCAUCUGUCUUUGUUGGGUCUGCAAGGUCAGCUGUUAGAGCCGAGCCAGUAGUUGGCGAUAGGCUAGUUUACUUACUUUGUUUACUGACUUGUUCGGGUGCCAGUCCAGUAGUAUACGCUUGGUCAUAACCUGUUCUGUGUGGAAUACCGAUCCUGCUCGAGUUAUAGUCUUCAGACCGGUAUGUUCUGGUUCUCAAGUAAGGGUAAGGCUAGGCCCUUAUAGUCAGUUUCGGGUGUGAGUUCAAAGUUGACAGUGAAAGUGUAAGUUGAGUCGGAUUAAGGUUCAGCGCUAAGUCCUUAUUGCAGGUCGAGUUAAGUCUCAAAGAGAGGAGGCGAGAGCACUAGGUGAAGUUGCUUAGCGGGUAAGGUCGGCUUGGUAGAAUCUUCAAUAAAGAGUUGUAGUUAAGAGCCAGACCAGAGUCGAGGUCGGUGCUAUAGUGGAAUACCGAGCGGAUAGCCCAUGUAGCGGUCAACUUCCCUUUCCCACUUUCAUUCUCUCUUUUAUAAGUCAGUUUGUGCAGAGGAAGCACCCAAAGAAGUAAGAAAACUGGGAUUACUCGUAGUGAGCGGAAGGAGUUGGCUAAUAGCACUUAGGUUGGUUCCUGGAUCUGGUAAAGAAAGGAAACAGUUAAAGGUUAAGGCUAGGGAAGGAAAGAAAGUCACUGCUUUUAAGGGUUCCGGUUUUGGAAGGAAAGAAAGUCACUGCUUUUAAGGGUUCCGGUUUGGGAAGGAAAUCAAGCCUUAAUAAGUAAAGGAGAGUGGAGUCUACAGGUGAGGCAGCUGGGUUAAGGGCUGUUGCUAGGGAAAUCAAGAAAGACUCGUAUAAGUGCCAUGUGUUAAGCAAGUAGUAAAUUUAGUUAAGUUGACCAUAGCCCUAGGUAUAGGCGGGAAGCACAGAAAGAAAGGGUAUGCACCUAGCGUAUCAAAGAAAGAAAGAAAUCCGAGGAAGCGAGGGAAAGUCAAGUCCCAACAUAAGCUCCACACAGUGCCCUCAAUCAGGUCUUACAAUAGAAGCAAGAGAUGGAGUUUGAACAAGAGAAGAAGCCGGGGAAGAAAUAGUACUGAAGUGAAGAAUUGCGUCUCAAAAACACGGGUUUUCAUCAAUUGAGCAACUGGGCAAGUGCCCUUAAUAGUUAUAUGUGCAAUAUGAGAUAUGGAAAGAAAGUAUGUGCAAUAUGAAUGAAUUCGGUGCGCCAAGCAUAGGUAAAAGAAAGGCAUAGGUAAAAGAAAGAGACAAUCCCUCACACCCCUUAUAGUAGUGGUAAAAGACAAAGCAAAAAGAAGUAAGACCGAGGAAAAAACGAAAUAGCAGUUAGAGAAGCUCCGUAUUAAGAAGAGGGCAAAGUCGGCAACUAGGUUGAUUCUGUGACUACUGAGUUUCACUCUAACCCUUGAGUUCACCCCGAGCCGAGUUUCGUGCAUUAGUAGUGGCGAGUGCCCCGAGUGGAAUCUGGUUUCAUAUAUAAAGAAGAGAUAUUUGGAUAGCUAAUUUCUUAUAAGGAGUUUCUACUGUGUAGGUACAUGAGAAAUUGAAGUUUUCUUUCGGGAACUAGCAGCCCUGCCGUUCCUAUCGCUCGCUACCUAGCCUUGAUCGGCUUGGCUUGGUCAAGUGUCUUGGCUCUGUUCUUUGAUUGUUCUUUCUCAUUUCUUGGAUUUGAUGGGUUUUCUGGUUUCUUUCCCUAGUGUAGUCCGGUUUCUUUAAUAAUAACAUAUUUGUGAUAGCGCCAAGUAACGACUUAAGAAGAUCUUUCGAAACUCAUCCUUAAUAUUAAUAAGAAGAUCUUUCUCAACGCUAUUAUCCUUAAUAAUAAGAGAGAUUUGGAUAGUUAUUAAUAAGAAGAGAUAGAAUUAAGGAGGAGACAUGCGGACUGAGGUUAUCGAUUGUAUCAUUGCUUAACACAAGCACCCGAUCCUUACCCUUACUAUAGAACCAGAACAGAGGACUACCAGUACUAUCUUCUUACCUGAACCCAGCCAGCUAUCCGGUCCUUGCACAGCUACCUCAGUCUACUAAUACAGAUGCAACUGGGGAUUCCACUUGAACAAGAACAUAGGUACCCGACCUAAACUAUCACAGCUGUUGACUUGCGCACUGCUUCAGUUCCUUUACUUCCAUCUUGAGAUCCAGCGCCAUCUUUAUCUAAGUUUCACAUAGGGAUAGGGUAAACUCGUACACGCGCGCACAAGCACUUAUAUAACUCGUAUGGAAUCUGGAACUUCAUUCACUUAUUCUUCCCUACUAUGCAAUGAUUACUUAAAGUCAAGUAAGGAUAAGACUGGAAAGAAUCCAUGUAUUAGCUCGAAAUACAAGAUUCUAGGCGGAACUCCCUAUGUUGGUAACCGAAAACUUGUUAUUCCGAGUUAUUCCGAAGUACUAAUUGAGCCUAUGUCAACUAAUACAGAUGAAACUGGAAACUUACUAUGAGGGCCACUAACUAAUGCUUUUGUAUCUGAUUCCAGAAUUACUGUAUCGUUUCUAUACUCAACACCGGAAGUAUAAGUAGGAAUUUAGGAUUACCCCGCUUGCAGCCUCUCCUUACUUACCUAGCUCUAGCUGAAGCCUGUUAUUCAGGUGGGGCAAUUACUAUAGUGACACUUGUAUAACUUGUUCAAUUCUGACCUUUGAGUAAACCCAUCCCCUGUUACGCUUGGCUCUUACUUGCAACAAGAACUCCCCUUUCUGACCCGAUUGCUGCUUACUUGAGAACUGCUUACUUGAGAACUGCUGCCGAUUCUUCUUUCUGUUAGGCCUGUACCUGCUCCUUUGGCAUCAAAGCCAGUGGACUACUUCUAACUGCUUCCCGACUUACUAUAAGGGCCUCGAACACCUGAUUUAGACUGCUUCUCUGACCUAUGGCUACUGGACCUCUGGCUACAACUACUUAUGCAACUAUUCGUAUACUUGUUUGGUAUUCAACUCUAACUGCAGCUGACACUUGAACAGGAACUAGGGAUUCAGCUACCCAAAGAGACUCUAUUGAAACACACUGAUAUGCUAUCUUUAUCUUUUAAAGAAGAAGAAACUCGGGAUGAGACUCACUACUACUGAUUCUACUACUCCACUACUUGAACUACUACUUUAAGAAGGGGCAAUCCUUAAUUGCAUCAACCUUGCCCACCUAUCAUAUGGCAACAAACACAGAGGAACCUCGGUAUUCCACUCCAACUCAGGAUGCCACAGAGCCUGGACCCGGUGCUCUAGAAUCAAAAGAAAUAGUACACGCAAAUGGAAGUGGAUAAUUACCUGGAAAGCUGGGUUAAGAAAAUCAUCAAGUACGGGCAAGAUAUCGUGGAGAAGGUCCUGCUCCUGACCAAGUCCUGUUUUCGGUCCUUUCUUCGGCUUCAACUUAAGGCCAGCAUCAGAUGCCACUAAGCUUUGGAGCCUACUGUUACAUAGUUGUUCUAUACAACCCUAAGCCUCACUUUGCUAACUCAACACCUCACUUGUUCUUUCAAUACCGAGUUCCUGCUCAGCCACCCCUAUAGGGUUAAGCUUCAAACUUAUGCUUGUUAGCCGCAUCCUAAUGGCUUCUUCUUGAAAACGUACACUCACCUCUUGAAGCCUUGCUUACUCGGCUACAUAUCCUUUCUUAUGGAAUUCCACUCAUUAGUCUAAGAAUGGAAUGAACUAACCAACCCCUAGUUCUCCCAGGCAAUAAAGAGAGAAUCAGACUAGGACCCAUAAGGCUGUUACUGCUCCCUAUACGACUGAAAUAAGAGCAUAAGAAUCCACUAGAAGCCUAUAUACCCGACCACCGCUAAGCCUGCCCUGCUUGAUCUCGGUCUACCGCUCCCUGUCUAAAGUCUGAUACUUGAAACACUUGACUGCGAUUCUUGUAUUCGAAUUUGGCUCUGCCUUUCCCGGCUUUCAACCUAUAACUAAUGCUUCUCAUAAUAGAGCUAGGGAUAAGGAGUUUCAACUACCAGCUAUAAGAAUUGGCUACUUGCGGAUAAUAAUGAAACCAGAGCGGGAGAACUAAACCGGGAUAGGAGCAAGAGGUGUAGUUAGGCUAAAUUAGGACUCGCCAAGCAACUAAGGAAGGUAGAAAACAAAAGAAUCCAACCUACUACU
rnacentral:lncRNA from 1 species